GUUAUUUAGUCCAGCAUCUUAUUCAGCAUUCAAUCAAAUCACAAUGUUUUUGUAGGUAGUUCUUAAAUUUCUUCCAAUCCUCCUCGAUUCUCUCUUCUCCCAGGUCACGGAUUCUGCCAGUCAUUUCAGCCAGUUGCAUAUAGUCUAUCAGUUGCAUCUGCCAUUCUUCCAGUGUGGGUAGAUCUUGGGUUUUCCAAUGUUUUGCAAGUAGUAUCCUUGCUGCUGUUGUUGCGUACAAUAAAAAUCUCUGUUCCUUCUUUGCCACCCCUUGGCUGACAAUACCCAAAAGGAAAGCCUCUGGUUUCUUAGUGAAAGUAUAUUUAAAUACCUUUUUCAAUUCAUUGUAAAUCAUUUCCCAGAACGCCUUCACUUUAGGGCAUGUCCACCAGAGGUGAAAGAACGUUCCUUCACACUCUUUGCAUUUCCAGCACUUGUUAUCAGACAGGUGGUAAAUUUUUGCGAGUUUGACUGGGGUCAUAUACCAUCUAUAAAUCAUUUUCAUUACAUUUUCUUUCAAAGCAUUACAUGCAGUAAAUUUCAAUCCAUUACUCCACAGCCUUUCCCAGUCCUCAAACAUAAUAUUGUACCCAAUGUCCUGUGCCCACCUUAUCAUAGCCGAUUUAACCAUUUCAUCUUGUGUAUUCCAUUCCAACAGCAAGUUAUACAUCCUUGAAAGUAUCUUAGUCUUUGGUUCUAACAAUUCUGUUUCUAAUUUCGAUUUCUCCACCUGGAACCCUAGUUUCUUAUCACUUUUAAAAACUUCUUUAAUCUGAGCAUAGUGUAACCAAUCUCGCACUUUGUCUUUCAUUUUCUCCAAGCUCUGCAAUUUCCAAUUGUCUCCAUCUUUUCUAGUAUUUCCCAAUAUUUUGGCCAUUUGGCCUCCAUAUUGGGUCUUUUUCGAGCCUUAGCUUCCAAAGGUGAAAGCCACCUUGGUGUUUUAUUUUCCAGCAAGUCUUUAUAUUUUGUCCAGACAUUAAACAGUGAUUUUCUAACAAUAUGGUUCUUAAAGGCCUUAUUUGCUUUAACUUUGUCAUACCAUAAAUAUGCAUGCCAUCCAAAAACAUUGUUAAACCCCUCCAAAUCUAACACAUCAGUGUCUUCAAGAAGUAGCCAGUCUUUUAGCCAGCAGAACGCUGCGGCUUCAUAGUACAACUUUAAGUCCGGCAGGGCAAAGCCCCCUCUUUGUUUUGCAUCGGUUAGUAUCUUAAACUUAAUUCUGGGCUUUUUGCCCUGCCAGACAAACUUCGAAAUGUCUCUCUGCCACUUCUGAAAGCACCCCAUUUUGUCCAAUACCUGCAGUGUUUGAAAUAAAAACAACAUUCUUGGCAAUACAUUCAUCUUAAUCGCAGCAAUUCGGCCUAACAAAGAAAGUUUCAAUUUUGACCAACUGUCUAAGUCUCUCUUAAUUUCUGUCCAACAUUUUUCAUAAUUAUCCUUAAAUAGACUUAGAUUUUUGCUGUUAUGUUUACCCCUAGGUAUUUUACUUUUUAACCACAUUAAGUUCCGUCUCAUUCUGAAACCGUUCUGACUCUGUCUCAGUCAGAUUUUUCCCCAAAACCUUAGUUUUCUGUUUGUUUAAUUUAAAUCCCGCCACCCGACCAAAGUCAUUAAUCAAUUGUAAUACUCUUUUCGUACUAGGCUCUGGCUUCUGCAAGGUCAAAACCAGGUCAUCUGCAAAAGCUUUUAAUUUAUAUUGUUUCUGACCAACCUGAAUUCCUUCCACCAGCUGGUCCCCUCUGAUCAUGUUCAAUAGCACCUCCAGGACCGAGAUAAAUAACAAAGGGAAAUAGGCCAACCUGGUCGUGUCCCUUUUUCAAUUUUGAACUCUUCUGUAACCACAUUAUUAACUAUCAGUUUUGCUUUCUGUUCUGAAUAUAUCGCCUCAAUCCCAUUCUCAAAACCCCGUCCCACUCCCAUCUCUUUUAAGUUUCCCAUCAUAAAUUUCCAAGAAAUGUUAUCAAAGGCCUUCUCCGCAUCUAUAAAAAUUAAAACAGCUUUUGUAUUUAUGUCAGUUUGGAGAAGUUCCAAAAUAUCAAUAAUGUUCCUUGUGUUAGCAAACAAAUGUCUACCUGGGAGAAAACCGGCCUGGUCCUUAUGAAUUACUUCAUUUAAAACUUUUUAAAUCUACUUGCCAAAAUAUCUGCAAAUAUUUUGUAAUCCACAUUUAAAAGGGAGAUGGGACGGUAGUUCUUCAGUUGUGUCUUUUCAGUUUCUAACUUUGGUAUCAAUGUGAUAAACGCUUCCUUCCACGAAUCCGGUGCCCUCUUCCCCUCCAUAAUUUCAUUGCUAACCUCCAUCAAAGGUUGUAUCAAAUAGUCUUUUAGUGUCUUGUAAUACUUGGAGGUCAGCCCGUCUGGCCCUGGAGAUUUGCCAAGUUGCAUGUUCUGAAUAGCUUGUUCAAUCUCCUGUCGUGUUAUUUUAGAGUUCAGGAUUGUCCUAUUUUCUUGUGACAGUUUAGAUAAUCCAUUUUUUGCCAAAAAUUGUUUAAUCUCAACUUCGUCUUGCGGCCCUUGGGUAUAUAACUUUUUAAAAUAUCUCUGGAAACACUUUCUAAUGUCCACUGGAUUCUGAAUGUUUCUUCCAUCAACCUCUAAAUUUGUAACCGUGUUUAAUCUUUGUCUUCUCUUCAACUGCCAAGAUAGCAGUUUUCCACAUUUAUUCGCCGACUCAAACGUUUUUGUUUCAUUAAUUUGAUCUUCCAUUCAAUUUCCUGAUUUAUCAAUUUAGAAUACUGUGUUUGAUAAAGUUUAAUUUCUCUCAGAGUUGGCUGUGACUUUGGAUUCACUCUUAAUUUCUUCUCCAAGUCUUUUAUUUUAUCCAAAAUCUUGUCUUUUUUCUCAUUUUGUGUUUUUUUCUUUACUACAUUCUGUUGUAUCAGAAAACCCCUCAUGACAGCUUUGCUUGCGUCCCAGACGAUUCUUUUUUCCACCGAAUUGUUCAUAUUUAUCUCAAAAUAAUCUUUCAAAACUUUUUGGGCCUUCUUGGUAAUUUCCUGAUCUCUAAACAAAUUGUCAUUCAUCUUCCAUCUAAAGGAUCCAGUUGGUAGUAGUGUCAUGUCCAUCUUUACUGCGUUGUGGUCAGAACAGGUCUUUGGGCAGAUUUCCACUUUUCUAACCCUAGGUGCCAGGCCUCUAGAGAUCCAUAUUUGGUCGAUUCUUGUCCAGGUCAGUUGGGCUUCAGAAAAGAAUGUUCCUUCUCUACCUAGUGGGUUUUUUGUUCUCCAAAUGUCGAUCAAGUCCAUAUUGUCAGUCAUUUCAAAAAGGUUUUAGGUAGUCUGCCAUCUUUUGUGAUGUUUUGACUUUGCGACUUGUCCAUGUUAGUUGACACGACCCCGUUCAUGUCUCCCAUCAUUAUGAUGUUGUUGUAAUCCAGAUGAUCCAGCAUUGUCCCCUGCAACUUCUUGUAAAAUUCCGAUUUCCCUUCAUUAGGCGCAUAGAUUCCUAAUAUCAGCAAUUUCUCUCCUUGAUAUUGUAUCUCAAUAGCCAAAAUCCUUCCAUGUUCAUCUUUAAAUAGAAAUUUAGGUGACAGGCUCUCUUUUGCAUAUAUCACCACUCCUCUCUUCUUCACUUUAUCCGACGAAAUAAAUUCCUGGCCCAAUCUUUUAUUUGUUAACACUUUUCUGUGGAGCCUCGUCACAUGUGUUUCUUGUAAGCAAAUAAUGUCCAAUUGUUCUUUUUUUAAUAUAUGAAAAAUUUUCUUCCUUUUCUCCGGGAUAUUGCAACCAUUAAUAUUCCAGCUCAACAGUUGCAGAGACAUCCUGGAUCUAUCUGGUUAUUUCUCCUGGGGUGGUGUCUUCUCUUGAUCUUCAAGUUCCCGAGGUGGAGGUAUUGAUGCUGGCUUUGCCUCAGGCCCGGAAGGUAGUUCAAUUCCUUUAUGUAGGUCCUCUCCGUGUGUAGCCAGAAAUUUAUCUCUCUCUUCCAAUGUUCUAAUUUUAACCUUUCUCGCUCUAAAGGUAAAAGACAAUCCCUGGGGAAAAUCCCACCUGAAUGGAAUUGCGUUGCUCCUUAAUAGUUUAGCUAGUUCAGAAUAGGCGGCUCUAAGAUCCAACAGUUGUCUUGGGAUAUCUUUAUAUAUCUCAAUUCUUCUAUCCAAAACUUCCAGUGACUUUUCGUAAUGUAGGCCCAAAAUCUUAUCCCUUUCCUCCUUCGAUCUCAAUGUAAUCAAACAAUCCCUGGGCCUCUCCUUCUUUAUAAAUCUUCCAAGUCUGAAAGCUGACACAAUUUUAAAGUCCUUUUCUUCCAAAUUCCAGAACUUGGAAAGUUCUUUGGUCAAAAACUCAGUUAGAUUUCCUUCUUCUGCCUCUUGUAAUGAUCUAAUCCUCAGAUUAUUCUCACGAUUUCGCAGUUCUAUCAUAGAAAGAUAAAUCUGAUGUUCCCCAACUUGUUUAGUGAGUGGUCUUACCUCUUGCUCUAAAUUUUCCAAUUUUUGUCUGGUGUCCUCAGCCAAUUUUCGAUUUUCUACUGAGGCCUCCGUCAACUGUCCAAUUGCUUGUGUAUUCUGUCCCACCUGUGUAGUUAAUUUGUUUAGACACUCUGUAUUUUUAUCAAUCUUUGCUGAUUGCGCAUCUACUUUCUUGUCCAAAGCUUCCAAUUUUUCAAAGAUUUUUCUAGCACAGAAGCAGAUGCUCCUGAGGCCAUAUCUUCCAAUUGUAACUGCUCUACUUCACCCUCUCCCUCUUUUGCCUGUGGCAAGGCAGCUUCUUCAAGUUGUACUUCUGAGGGCAAAGUAGGCACAGAUGAUCUACGUGUCUGCGAGGCUGAGGUUAGAUUUGUUAGAGUUGUUUGUCUAACUCUUCCUCUUCUUCUUGUACCACUCAUUCCAAUGUUAUCUAUCAGUCAAGGUCACACUGAGUUUUUCCCACAGGAAUAGAGAGUCCCAGAGCAAGCAGACAACAAGAGAAUCGAAAGUAAAUGUUUUUAUAAAGUCACUGUUUUAAUCCAAUCCUCUAGAGGAGCUUAAAAUGUCUUUUCAGAGUCUGAUUUAAUGUCCCAGAACCUUCCAAUAUAAGUAUUAAGCAGAGUUUAAAGGUAAUCACUUUGUUGCAGACAGUGCUUAUUUGUCUCCAAAAAGAAUGUUUCAAAUUUAAAAUGUCUCAAUGCCCUCAAAUUGUUGCAACUUCCAGUAUACAGUAUCCAAGUCAAACACUGACAGCCCACUGUUACAAUGCUCAAGCAGUCCUGACUCUGGGUUUCACCUUCCAAUUUGUAAUCCAAUAAAAGGGGAAAGUCAAGUGCAAAUAAAAGGUCCAAAUCUUUAACUUGCUAAUUUUACUUUAAAUUGUAAGUUCCAUAGAUGCUUGGCUGUGUAGAGUUUAAAAUCUCUUUCUUUCAGCCUCCACUCCUCCACCUUAGUUGCUUUUUUUUCCAAGUUCAAUGGCAGCGGAAGACGGACUUCCUGUUUCCACGUCUCUCCGCUUUCAGCCAAAUUCAAGUCAAUUUAAACCUUCUCAUUUAAAAUUUGUAAUUCCAAGUGAUUCAGUCUUUACUCACGAGUAAGUUGUUUUCUUCCAGGUCCGAAUUUUAACAGGAAAAGGGAUCAGCGCUCACCGGCAGCAGCAGCGCGGCUUCACUCCGCUGACUGUGAAACGGCUCACAGCGCCGCAGCCCCCCUCCACGCUCCGGAGCCUCUUACGAGGCUCCUUCUGCAGUUGGAGGGCUGCUCUUGGCGCCCGCCGAGCCUCAGGACCCCAGGCUCUUGCUGCCUGGGGUUUUUCUCACUGGGUCUCCGCUUCGCCGUAGCGGACGACCCGGUUUCAGCGGAGCUUCUUCUCCGGUCGGGAGAAGACCGCCAUUACCGUUCGCGCCGCCCCCGGAAGUCCACCUAACAAGAGUUUUCACAAUAUGACAUCAUACCAAAGGGAUUUCUUUUCAUUUUGCCCUUGAUAUAUGGGGAAAUUGAAGGUUAAAAUGGUGUUUUGAUAGCCUGCUGGAAACAAGGCCCACAGUUUAUAGCAUUCAAGCAGACUGCUGUCAGCUGUCAAAUCAUUUUGGUGUCUGGCAAAGACUCAGCUGACAACGAUCUACAUUUACAGUUUAUGAUUUCAGUGUCCAGCUAUUAAAAUAAAGUAAGCAUAGCAAAAUAAUGAUAAAACACCCUUACGAUACCUGGCUUACAAUCCUUUAAAUAUCUAUUAUUUAUUUAAACACCUUGCUUCAGCACUUGGUUAUUAAACUUGACAAACUAUUGGGUUUGUGGGGCCUUUUUUAUAUAUACUUCUAUAUUUCAUUUUUUAAAGUUCCAAAACAUACCAGCCAGAACAUUUUGUCCAUGUCAUCGAGUAAUUCAUUAAUUUAUGUUGGUAUUCAUGUCCAAACAACAGAAAAAAGAUAGAAGACCCAUUUUUUAUGUGGGGUUUUGCUUUUAAUUGUGGAAAGCUUUAUAAAUCUAUUUUUGUAAGAGAAAAUAUAGCUCCUGUGGAAGCAGAAGUGAGUUGCUAAGAUAAUUUUCCACCAACUUAUUGACACAUAAUGAAAUAGUUCUCAUGUCAGAUAAAUAAUAAUGUUUCUUUAAUGAGGCUGUUUUACUCCAAUGAUGUUUCAAAUGGCUAAUAAAAACACCUUUUAAAUGCUGUGGUUUCUAUUCUUUACUGUCAAAACUUUUCUCUUACAUUUGUAUUAAAAUUUUGUAAAUCUGUCUGAGGACAGGCUAACAUUCUGCCUAUAUCUUUCUGUGCACAGGAAGGAGCAGAAUCAUAUAAAUCCUUUGGCAAAGGGAAGGGCAAGUAUACUGUAUACAGGAGACCACAUAAAGCAUUACUGGCAGAAACAGAAGUAGCCUCUGGACAAUAGAGAAGAAUCAGUAGGCUGACUUACCCUGAAAAAUGAAGUAUGUAGCUCACCAAUUUUGCUAAAUUGAAUGACCCUGUGAUUUUGACUUCAGAGGUGUCUCAUAAUAGUUGGCACCUUUCUGUGGUUUGAAUUCUUGCAGCGUUGCUUUCCCUUCUCAAAUACACGUUGCUGCAGAUACUUAAGGCGCAAGAACACCCAACCCUCCUUGGUAUCGCAUGGUCUACACACAUUUUGUAGGGCCUGCAUAUCUUUUUGGGUGAAAUCCCAUUAUUCUCCAUUUUCCUUAGCAUUGAUCUUUAUCAGAAACACUAAACCAGGGAUGGCUAGGGCAUGGACUGUUGCAGGCAUGGCCAAACUUGGCCCUCCAGCUGUUUGGGGACUACAGCUCCCAUCAUCCCUAGCUAACAGGACCAGUGGUCAGGGAUGAUGGGAUUUGUAGUCCCAAAACAGCUGGAGGGCCAAGUUUGGCCAUGCCUGGACUAUUGGAAGGCAGCCUGGACUCUAUAGCAUCCUUGCUAGUUCAAUAUGCAGCCUCCAGGUGGUUGACUAUGGGUCAUUGUGGCACUUGGUCUGAACAGAGUUAGCCCUCCCUGCAGUAAGCUGUUGGAAUCACUGGAAUCUCUUGUUUAGGCUGAUAUCUUAAACCAGUGUUUCCCAACCUUGGGUCUCCAACUGUUUUCAGACUACAGUUCCCAUCAUCCCUGACCACUAGUCUUGCUAGCUAGGAAUGAUGGGAGUUGUAGUCCCAAAACAGCUGGAGACCCAAGGUUGGGAAACACUGCCUUAAACAACUAUGCUAUCUCAAACGCUCCAAAAGGUGAAAUCAUGUACUCUGCCGUCAAGAGAGUACCUACAAAAUUGAUCAAACAAUCUGAGGGCAGGCAAUUCUGAGGGAGGGCAGGCAAGGACCCACAGCCUAGGUGGAGCUCGCUAGUUUGGGGAGUGAGUGUGUGAUUCCUCAACUGGAGACAGGUGGGGAUCACAUGCCUCGUCAAGCCCAGAAGGUAUAACAGGAAAGCCGUGCUGGCUACGCCAUAGCUCUCCUGACAGAUGAUUUGGUCUGGAGCCACAGUGUGGAGAUAAAUGAUGAGAUUGCCCCAAAAAUCCCUGCUUGUGGUGAUGUUUUGCUGGGUGCUGUCUCUCUUGUGAGAAAAGGCUGCAGUCUGCCUUUUCCCACAAGAUUUGUGGACCCCCCUGCCCUCCCUUGGCUACACCCAUGGGUAGAGGAGAUGGGGAGGAAAGGACAUGGAAACGAAGCAACAGGCAGCCUUUCAUGUGAACAACUCCAAAUCCUUACCUAGUUUGGAGUGAGGCGUCACUUAUUUUUAUGUUUGGACUGCUCUUUUCUGCAAGCAUGGUAAAUCACAAAAGGUGUAUGUCUACAUGGGAACAAAUGCCCAUGGAUCUCAGGUUUCCUGGCUUGGAGCAACACACACACAAACUCAAACGUACGUAUGGCUGCUGUUUUGUGCAAAGCUGGUAGACUGAGAAACUUGUAUUUUAUUUUAACUAAAGGUGUGUGCUUACAGGUAAGCAGAUACCAGUGUGCAUGCCCAUAAUGACCUCAGGCAAGGCCAGCCUACCCAUAAUUUUUUCUUUGAGAAAAAUAAGUGGCUCACGUAAAUGUAAACUAAGCUUUAAUAAGAAAGAAAAUUUUAACAAAAUAACAUCAUGAGAAAAACUACAUACAGUGGUACCUCGGGUUACAAACACUUCAGGUUACAGACUACGCUAACCUGGAAGUAGUACCUCGGGUUAAGAACUUUACCUUAGGAUGAGAACAGAAAUCGCGAUGCAGCAGCAGCAGGAGGCCCCAUUAGCUAAAGUGGUACCUCAGGUUAAGAACGAUUUCAGGUUAAGAAUGGACCUCUGGAACGAAUUAAGUUCGUAACCAGAGGUACCACUGUACAGCAACAGGAGGCAAAUUUGAGGCAAGAAACAAGAAGAGACAGUUGGUCCCUCUUAAUGGACAUUCUUAACUAACUGAACAGAACUCAACACGCACUGAAGGGAGGGGCUGAUUCCGGAGCAAAGCACACAAGCCCCGCCCACCAGAUACCAAGCACUCUACUAUUCAAAUUAGGCCCUAAUGUUUUUCUUACAAUCCCCUUCUCAAUGUGCCUAAUUUGAAUUAAUAUUAAUUUAGUAUGUAAAUUCUCAAAACUUUCUUAUUUAAACAUUCAGCAUUUUUUCCCUGGCUUUGCUUCGAGAUAGAAGGUCUUGUUCCCUUCCCCACUAUUCAGGUCAACUUUACAACGUUUAAUUUCCAUUACUCUCACCAAACCUUUCUUUGGCAGGUCUGCUUAAUCCUGAAGUCUCUAUGUCCAAGCCAUUUGUGCUACAGAUGAACACUGGUUGCACUUGAAUUCUUCUUGACCAUAUUCACUCUUUCUUGACUGGUAUCCAGCACAAAGACUCCAUUAUUUUCAAAACCUUGUGCAUGCAAAACUCCAUCUUUGGUGAGUGCACAUUUGUUGUGAUUAAAAUUUACAUUAAAACCACACUUGGUCAGGGUUGGCACAUUCAGCAAACUGAAUUUCCCACUAGAUACCAAGUAGUCUAUUAUUCAAAUUAGGUUCCAGUGUUUUUCUUACAAGAGCACCCUCAUGAGUGCCUCCUUUCGUGCCCCCACCUCUGCCAGAGAAGUGGUGCCAGUGUAGGUGCUGAUUUCCUGCAAGAUCUUGCAAGAUUUCAUCAAAGUCUUGCAAGAUAUCAAGGAGAGCAAAAGAUCUCAUGAGAUUUGGGUAAGAUCUUGCAAGCUCUUUCAGGGAAUCUGCUCCAAAGCCAGCAAUGCAGUGCUGGUACAGCAGCCCCUCCAAGUGCCCCUAUUUUCCAGGGACAUCCGUGAUAUAGAGAAGCUGUCCCGGUUUCUGAUUUCAUCCCAGAAUGUCCUGCUUUUCCCUAGGAUGUCCCUAUUUUUAUUGGAGAAAAGUUGGAGGGGUACGGUAGGAUGUCCCUAGUUUCAUGCUGGCCACAUGACCCAGAAAGCUGUCUGUGGACAAACGCCGGCUCCCUCAGCCUGAAAGCGAGAUGAGUGCCGCAACCCCAUUGUCGCCUUUGACUGGACUUAACCAUCCAGGGGUCCUUUUACAUGGAAGAUGGAAAGCUUGUUUCCUGCUGCUUCAUGCCAAUGGAUUCAAAUUACUGUAUUUGUCGCUCUAUAAAUUACUGUAUUUGUCACACCAGACCACAAGACGCACCUAGUUUUUGGAGGAGGAAAACAAGAAAAAAGAUAUUCUGAAUCUCAGAAGCCAGAACAGCAAGAGGGAUCGCUACGCAGUGAAAGCAGCAAUCCCUCUUGCUGUUCUGGCUUCUGGGAUAGCUGUGCAGCCUGCAUUCGCUCCAUAAGACGCACACACAUUUCCCCUUACUUUUUAGGAGGGAAAAAGUGAGUCUUAUAGAGCAAAAAAUACGGUAUGAGAAAGGAGAUUCCAACUUCAAAAAGAACUUUCUGACGGUAAGAGCUGUUUGCCAGUGGAAUGGACUCCCUUGGAAGGUGUUAGACCCUCCAUAUUGGAGGUUUCUAAGCAGAGGUUGGAUGACCAUCUGUCAUGGAUUCUUUAGUUGUGAUUCUUGCAUUGUAGGAAUUUUGGCUUGUUGUCUCUCUUUUGGUCCCUUCCAACUCUAUAAUUCUGUGAUUACAUGAUCUCCCUUUCACAACCUGUCACAGCACAAGGCCUUGAACUUUGACUGUUACAUUCUGACAUCAACAGAUGUCACUUCCCCCACCCCCCAAGCACAAAACAUAGACAUACCCACACACUAUCUGCAGGUUCAGAUGUGGCAUAUAUGUUGCUGAGGAUACCAGCAGCAGAUGGAUAUUGCCCUUGUGUGCUGUUUGGAAGUUUUCUCAGAGGUGUUGGGAUAGCCACUGUGGAAACAGUGUGCUGAACUACAUGGGCCAAAAUAUAACCCUCUAGAAUCCCUGAUCAUUGAGUACUUGUUCAGUUAGACAGGCCAUGUGCUGUUUCUGACUUCUAAAAGGAAGCUCCAAGAUUGGCGUGGCCACCAGUAAUAAAGUACCAAAGCUUGAUGGUGCUGGUCCAUCAAAGGCACUGUUCUUGGAAACCUCCAGGCCAAUUUAAAAAUAGCAACUCUUCCCCUACAUAUACAUUUCAGUUCAUCAUUGCCUCUCCUUUCAUGAAUGUAAUUCAUAUACAUACUUAUAAAUGUACUUUUAAAUUAUCAAACAUAUUAGCAAUCAGCUAGGAAGGUAAUAAUAUAAUUGGCAUGGAUUUUGUGUGUGUAUGUAUGUAUGUAUGUAAAAGUUUGGUGUUGGAAAAGCUAAUUACACAUUGCAGGUGCUUUCAAUCAGUUUAAUAGGACAACAUUCAACUAUCAAUGUUACAUUUACAAAGAAUCUAAUUACGUGUAAUUAAAUAAUGUUGAAUUUACAAACAGCUGACUAUAUGCAAUUAUCUUUCAGCAGCUUAUAGGCCAUACAUCAUCAAGUACUUAUCAUUUUAAAAUUGCUUCCCAAGUGAGCAAACCACCUUUUAUUUACAAUAAUGUACUACUAUGAAGCCAAGCAUUUUGUAGUUAAUCAAGUUUGUAGAACUUACAAAUUGGAAUCCUGAAAUAGAUGAAUCCAGGAAGCAUGAAAAUUGGUAUAUCAUAACAUAAAAAAAUGCAAUGAAGCUAAUUACUUGUGUAAUUGAUUAAGCUGUUCUGUUCUGCGUUGUAAAUUGGUUGCUGGUUCCUUAGGAGAAUGGAAUCCCAUUCCAAAUGUGACAGGAUACUGACAGCAGUGAUCAACUGUUUGAGACAGUUCUAUAACUUUGAUUAAAGCAGUACUUGAUCGCAUUUCUAAAACACUAAGCUAAAUAAUUAAAAUGCAGGGGAGGUACCUUUCGGAAUUUGGUAUGAGUGCAGUCAUUUAGAGUUGCUAAGGAAAUGUGUUAUUUAUUUAUUCCAUUCCCUUUCUCCAAGGAGCCACUUGGUGACACUUGUGGUCCCUGCUCCCUUUUGUCCUCAAAACAAUUCCUUGACAUGGGAGGAGGCUAAAGUAUCAUGGCAGCCCAAAGUCACUUAGUGAACUUCAUAGCUGAGUGAGAUUUUAAAUCUGGAUCUCCCUUGCCCAAGCCAGACAUGCUAUCUACUAAAUGGGUCCUCAACAUUGUGUUAAAUGGAGUAGGCUUAAUGCUAAAUGCCUUGACAUUUGAUCACGUUGUGUUAUGUAAACCAUAUUGAGCAUAGGAUGAGGUGAGAUAUGCAUAGGUUGAAGUCCAAAGAUCCAUGCAUGGAGUGGAAAUCACUUCCAUACAAGCGUAGGGGGUUAACGGAUUUUCCCUUACCAGCUGCAGCCUCUUGUGUUACAUCAAUGGCACUCUGGAAGGUUCUGUUUUCAGGAGUGUCUUGAGUCUCUCCCUGUCCUCCUGAAAGCCCUGAACUUUUGCCCAUGUGGAGAAAGGAGCAUGAUCCUUUGGAUCCUGGCCAUAACAUUAAAAAAAAAAAUUCAUUGGCAUCUAUCAGGAGAAUCAAAAGGAAAUUGUAACUUGAGGUAAUGGACACCCAGAACAAAAAAUAUAUUAGCCAGGGUUAAAUGGGAGUACUGAUAAUCAAGCUGUUAUAUAAGGGAGGUCCAUUUGCUGGUCCUGAUCUUCUCAUUGAAGAACUCUUAAAAGGUUACACCAGAACCCUGAGGGUCCAUGGAACACUGUUUGAAAACUAAUGCAGGAGGAUUUUGGAUAGUUAAUCAGUCAAUUCCUUAAAUAAAACCAGAGAGUUUUCAUAAGUUCUCUGAGGAGCACAUUGAAGGAACAAAAAGACUUCACUUAACCUAGAAAAUGGAGCAUUAGCUCGCUUUUGGACCUCUGAUAUCCCAGUACACACCUAGGAAGGGCAGAAUGGAGGAUAAUAAACAAGGUUGCAAGAUGAAGACACAUUAAUUGGCAGUAGUACAUGUGAAAAGGAUGUUAGGGCUGUACUUGCACACAACCUGAAACAUGAGUUUGCAGUGUGAUGCUGCUACAAUAAAGUCUAAUACAAUUUUAGGUUGCGUUACACUAGAACCAUGGUUUCCAAGACACACGAAGUCAAAAACCCACUUAAUUCUGUGCUUGUCAGACCUCAUCUGGAAGACUGUAUCUAGUGACGGGUGUGGCACCUUAAGAACAAUCUAAAAAAAAUUAAGUCUUUUGAGGAAAGGUUAAGGCUGGAGAAGACUGAGGGGACAGGGAAUGAAAGCACUCUUCAAAUACCCAUAGUAGGGCUGUCCAACAGGUUGAUCGUGAUCUACCUCCUCCCCCCCCCCCCCCCAAUGAUGAAGCUUUCCCAAAAAAAGUUCAACAAUUCUGGUCAAUCCAAUGGGUAGAUCACUGCCAGUUUUUUUUAUAGUGGUUGUAGAUCACAGUCUCUUGAAAGUUGGGCAAAACUAUUCUCUGCUGUCUCAGGGAGAAGGAUUAGAUUUAAUGGCUGAGUAUUAGGAGAAACUUAUUAAGACCCCCUUCACAAUGGAACCAAUUACUUAGAGGAAUGGUGGGCUCUCCCGUGGCAGACAACUUGGGAAGAGACUAGACGGCUGUCUAAUAUUGUCAAAAGUAACAAGUGGGAUGUAGGUUAGAAUGCUGAGUAUGUUUGGGGGGAAAGUAAGCAAAGAAUUAUAGAAAAUAGACUACAUAAAUAGCUAGGGAGGACUCAUAUCAGCAAUACAGUACAGGGGAAGCCCUCCAGAGGCUCCUGGACUCUGAUUUUCAUUGUCCUUGACAGCUAUAAUUUCUGGGGCUGAUGGGAGUUGCAGUCCCACAACAUCCAGAGGUCAGCGUGUUGCUUACUCCUGGCAUGUGCUUUGUACUUGAAUGAAUCUGUGGGCUGCAGGUCUGGGACCUUGUCUGACAUCCUCUGCCAGUCAGAACAAACAAUCUGGGAUAGAUGGGACCAGCACUCUGUUUCAGUAUAAGGCACCUUGAUAAAUUCACAAAGAUUCAUUAUCUAAUUUAUCUUGCAUCGUCAGUUCCCUGCCACUUUCGUAGAGCUGUUUUAACCUACCAUAUCCUCUGUUCUGUAAAGUGGGAUGCAAAAUUUAGAACCGAAAGGGGAUAAAAUAUAAUCCACAAAUAAUGCUAAUUCUGCAAAAACAACAACAAUCACUAACAUCACCACAUACUUCACUUAGUGUCCAUGAAUAGUCCCUAUUAGACUUAUCUAGAUCUGGGACGAGCAAGCAGAAGUUAUCCAGGUGUUGCUGGACUCCAACUCUCAUCUGCCCCAAACUGCCCCAAGGAUGAUGGGAGUUGUAGUCCAACAACAUCUGGUGGGCCUUAGAUUGCCAACUCCUGAUUGUUUUGGUGGAUCUGGGCCUACUAAGAGGGUGUUGAGUAGCAGCAGCAUAGACAGGAAUUCACAGAGAGAUUAUUAUUUUGCUUUUACAAUGUUUCAGUGGAAACCCAUGAGGACAUUUAUGUUAGAGGCAGAUUGCCAAGUAACAGCUUCAGCAUACCCUUUAGAAAAUAGAGUCGGGCAUAGCGGAGCCUUUUAAUGACUGUAAUAUUUAUUCCUUGCCAUCUUCCAAACAGAUAUGGCAGCUUUGCACCAGGGGAGCAAUAUCGGCACAUCCUUUGAAGGCAAACUCGAUUAGCAUCAUCUGAAGAAAGAUGACAUUUGGGGAGCAUUAUCACCAGGCAAACUCAGAUCAGACAGGGUUGAGCAGGAUUCAAAGCUAACAACAACAACAGGCUUGGGAAAGGAAUACUCAGAAGAGACCUGUCAAGGCAAGCAGAUAUAGAUAAACUGUACAGGUUAGUUCAGGGAGCUAAAGAGGGCAGGUGCCGCAGGUACCACAAAUAAUUGGUGAUUGUGGCUGGGUGAUGGAGGAGAGGAGCACCCACUUGUAAAUACCAAGUAGUGGCAGCAAAUUACGCCUCAGCAUUUUGCAAGUCUGCAGUUGCCGUUUGGGUCAGCAACUCUGGCACAGUUGGGGCUACUAAUGUCACCAAUAGGGCUGGGCGAUACCUGCUUUCCAACAUCAUAAUAUACAGUGGUACCUCGGGUUACAGACACUUCAGGUUACAGGCUCCACUAACCCAGAAAUAGUACCUCGGGUUAAGAACUUUGCUUCAGGAUGAGAACAGAAAUUGUGCGGCGGCUCAGCAGCGGGAGGCCCCAUUAGCUAAAGUGGUACCUCAGGUUAAGAACAGUUUCAGGUUAAGAACGGACCUCUAGAAUUAAUUCAGUUCUUAACCCGAGGUACCACUGUAUUGCCAACUAAACUUUGUGAUAUGGCAGCGUAUUACAGUGUCAGAAAGGAGAUGAUUAGUGUCACUGUGCACAUCUUCUGCCUCUUCCGGAUGAGGACAGGUGGUGCUGCCACAAGUGGAGCACAUCAGCCGGGGCACUGCAUGGCAAGGCACCCUGGAGUCGCUGGCCUCUCCAGAACCACCAGCUCCAUUAUGCGGGAUGGGGCUUACCUGCCCCCCCCCCAAUAUUUUCUUCAAGUUGGCACCCUUGGAUCAGAAGAAAUGUAUUAUUGAAGUUUGUGUGUUUAGAUCUGUCUUGUGUCUUGAGACAAGAACAAACACUUUAUACUUUAAUCUCAAGUAGGGAAGGAGUUUUCUUAACUUGGAACUCUGGAGAAGCCUGACUACUGGAAAGCAGUAAUACUGAUGUUCUGUUGGGACACUCUGUUGAUCACACUGGUUGAAGUGUGCUGAAGUACCAGCAAAUGGUGGGCCCAUGUCUGACAGCCAACUGACUUCUACACUGCAUGGCCUUAGAACUCCAAAUACAAAGCCCAGUUUGUGAGUCAUAACUGUGGGCAGAGAAUUAUGCCUGUUGCCCUGACCUCUGCACAUAUAGCUAAAUGUCUUGACAGUACAUGCCACUCUGUGCAUAUAGAAAGGUCCCUAAUGGCACACCCAGAGUCUAUUUAUUCUGGCCCAGUUCAGAUUUUUGUCUGAAUAAAUUUAUUGUACCGAUAGAUAACCUCAGCACUUUAUGUCCGGCACAUGUGUGACAGCAGAAUUUAAAAAAUGGAGCUCAUCUCAAACACAUUAAUAACUCCUUCAUCAAAAUCUUGAGCCAAAAAAAGUGAGGACCCAUUUUGCCAGUCAUCGGGAUUGAUUCUCUAUCAAAUAACAAAUGGCUUCCAUGAAGCUGAAGACAUUACUCAAAGGACUGUUCAUUAGUUCAGCUCAUGGGUCAUAUGUGCAAUUAUAGUUAUCAACAUUGUCUUAUGAUGGAUGGAUUUCUUUCUCUCUCUUAAAUUUCCAUAAAGACAAGUGGCAUUCUUCAUCUUAUAUCUACUUCUCUGUAAUUCAGAGUGCUAUGAGAUCUUUGUCAGAACUAAUGCUUAUUAUAUGCAAACUGAUGGCCCAUUAGUUUGAUGGGUAAGACUGUGGUGGUGUGAAGACAGAGGUCCUGUGCCUGUACAUGCCGACCAAAGGUUGAGGAAGCAACCCAUACCAGGUUCACCCAAGAGCUGAGCCCAUCACACUUUGACUUGUGAUGGCAGAAAUCAUGUUGUGCCAGAGGAAGGAAGCACUAGCAUCUGUUUAGUCAUUGUGUCUCUUCAUUUUACAGUGUCAACGAGUCUAGGUUUCUCCAGUGCCAGCUGAUGACAGGGAAGAGGGUACUGUGGGAUUCCCUAGGUAGUAUUGUAUUUUCAUUAUGUCAUAAUGAUGUCAGAGAACUAUUAUUGGCAGCUGCAAAGAUUCUAGAGCUGCUCUGUAAGAGUCUUCUCUGGGCUAUGUAGAAGAACGAACAGACCUCCUUUCACUCACCAUGGACCAAUCAGUUCUUUUGUUGGCAGAGUUCUCUCCUGAGAGGCAAGCUAGCCACAAAGAGACAUAGAAGCCAAAUCAUGCUGGAGACCUGGCUCCCUGAAGUGGAUAAUUCUCUGGACUGAAUUUGCUACCACUCGUGCUACUACCGUGGUGUGAGGAGAAGCACUCACCCCUGCUUCUUGUUCAGUUCUUAGUAGUGAUGGAAAGCAUUUACUGGAGAGUGAAUAAACGCUUCUGGCUGCAAUCAGUGAAAAUGUGAACUUAGAUGCAUAAAAUGUAAGUGAAGAAAUAUGGGGGAACCAGAAUCUAAGCCAGGUGAGCAAAGGACCCAUGUCUGACCCUGGGCUGUACCAUUUGAAACUGUAAAUAAAGGGAUCUCCCAUGUAAAAUACUCCACAGACCUGAAAACCUGGCAUGUUGGGAGGAACUUUUCAGAAGUCAUUAGAAUAGUAGUGGUGGUGGUCAUUAGAAUAAAGUGUUAUAUGGUAGACUUAAAUUUUGGUUUAUAUUUUGGUUUGACAAUGGUGUGGGGAGCAGAGUGAAAUGGAAUGCCUAAUCUUUAAGCAGUUUUGAUAGUUCAGUUGAGUGCUCUAGAAAGCUAUUUGCUGUUAUUCUGUUUCUUUUUCUUUGGUGAUCACUUGUAGGCGAGUAAGAUUGUCUUCCAUAAACACGGUUUUAACAAUGAGUCCGUAAGUGAUUAUGGAGGCCAAUUCUGGAUCCACACGUCCUUCCACAGUGGGGACAUUGGUUUUCAGGCGGGAGUUGAUAGUGGUGUGGAUUUGCCAAGCAUGCCUUCCUUCUAGCAUGUUUCUGCAGUGUGUCCUGAGUUUGAGUGUCAUCAAAGCCCAUGACACCUUUGGUAAAGGUUGUUCUCCAAUUGGAGCGCUUGCAGGCAAGUGUUUCCCAAUUGUUGGUGUUUAUACUAUAUUUUUUAAAAAUUUGCCUUGAGACAGUCUUUAAACCUCUUUUGUUGACCAGCAACAUUACGCUUUCCAUUUUAAAGUUCAGGAUAGAGUAGUUGUUUUGGAAGGUGAUAAUCAGGCAUCUGUACAACAUGACCAGUCCAAUGAAGUUGAUGUUGAAGAAUCAUUGCUUCAACACUGGUAAUCUUUGCUUCUUCCAGUACACUGGUAUUAGUUUGCCUGUCUUCCCAAGUGAUGUGUACAAUUUUUCAGAGGCAGCGUUGAUGAAUCUUUUGAGGAGUUGGAGAUGGUGUUUAUCAGUGGUCCAUGUUUCACAAGCAUACAGUAAGGUUGGUAGGACAAUAGCUUUGUAAACAAGCAUUUUGAUUUCCCUGCGAAUGUCCUGGUCCUCAACACUCUGCACUUCAAUCGGGAGAAAGCCGCACUUGCAGAGCUUAGGCGAUGCUGGAUUUUGGCAUCAAUGUCAGCCCUUUUGGAAAGAUAACUGCCCAGGUAGGAGAAGUGAUCAACAUUUUCCAAUGUUACACCAUUGAGUUGGAUUUGUGGCUCUGCAGAGGGGUUAUUUUGUGCUUGUUGGUACAGCACUUUGGGUUUUUGGAUGUUGAGCGAUAGGCCAAGAUUUUCGUAAGCUUCUGCAAAGAUAUUUAGGAUGGUUUGGAGGUCAUCCUCUGAGCAUGCACACACUACGUUGUCAUCAGCAUACUGAAGCUCUAUGACGGUAGUUACAGUAACCUUGCUCUUUGCUUUCAGCCUGCUCAGAUUGAAGAGCUUUCCAUCUGUUCGAUAUAUGAUUUCUACUCCAGUGGGAGUUUCCCUUCGACAAAGUGUAAGAUCAUGGCAAUGAAAAUAAUGAAUAGAGUUGGGGCAAUAACACAACCCUGUUUAACACCUGAUCCCACUGUGAAUGGUUCACUUUGACAGCCAUUGUUAUCCGUGAUUGUUGCUGUCAUAUUAUUAUGGAGGAGCCGAAUCAUUCUGUUUUAUUAGUGCUAGGAAGGCUGUGGAAUUGGCAAGGAGUUAUGAUGCAUUCAUUUGCACUUGUCUCUGUGGGAUCUGAAUGAUAUGCAGAGCUGUCGACCAAGGCAAUCCUCCUUGUAUAUUUAAUUGAAUGCCUUUGUUUCCUUUGUGACAGAGAUAGCUAGCUUCCGAAUCUGCAGUCAGGUCAUGAGUCCAAUCCAUGCUGAUCUCUGACUUGGGUCUUUUAGCCAGAAGGAAAACAAAAUUUACUGUUACUGGUAUUGUUAAAAAUACUAUAACAGCCCCUCCAAAUAUCCCUAUUUUCCAGGGACAGUCCUGGAUUUACAGAAACCAUCCUGGUUUCUGAUUUGAUCUUGGAAUGUCCUGCUUUUCCUUAGGAUGUUCCUAUUUUCAUCGGAGAAAUGUAGGAAGAUAUGGAGUUAUGUGACCCCUGAACAAGGAGAUAAAUAAAUUGCAACCUUUAGAAGACAUUUGAAGGCAGCCCUGGAUAUGGAAGUUUUUUAUGUUUAAUGUUUUAUUAUGUUUUUAUAUAUGUUGAAAGCCACCCAGAGUGGCUGGGGCAACCCAGUCAGAUGGGCGGGGUAUUAUUAUUAUUAUUAUUAUUAUUGAAUAGGAUGUUCCUACUUUCAUGUUGGAGGAGAAUUGUUGGAGGGCAUGCUAUAAUGGUGAUAAAAGUUGCAAUUGAACCAGUAUUGCCAAAGAGAUAGGCUAGAGUAGGAUGCAACCACCAAAGUUUCUUGAUUGGGAUUUGGGUCUCAGUCAGCAAAUAAAUAUUUGUUUUGCUUGUCAUUGCAUUCAUUUGCCAUUAUCUCAGAAUGUGGCAGAAUCGCUGUUUACAAGCAUUCAAAGAGCUACCUUAAAUUGCUAUUGGAAAAUGGGCAUAGUGACUGUUUUGUAACUCUUGCCAUAGAAAAUGUGGUUGUGUUAAUGUUAGUGCAAAUGAGAAGUCCCUUCUUCGAAUUGUUUGGGCCACCAGGAACAAAAGUCAGGAACAGGAAGUCAAUGUAUGGCAUUAAAGACUAACGACCAAAAUGUCAUCACAUAUGUGGAAAAACCACCCAUAAAAAAGAGAAAAAUGCACUAAAUCCACACCAGCAAUGAUUGGCUGUAUAAUGGGUUAUUUACUUUUUGGAUUUUCUGUUGUAGGGUGAAUCUGGAUUAAAUGUUUUAAAAAAAUAAAAAUACAGGCUGGCAUUUUGAUGCUAACAAUGCCAUGUGAAUGCUGUGAAAAACAUGCAUGCAUAAGCAGCACUGAUGCCGUAAUAAACUCAUUUGGAAGCACUUGUCACAAUCACAACAUAAAAUUCAGGACUGCUUGGAGGAGAACUGCCCACUCAAGUAACAUCUCUAUUGCAUAUGUAUGCAGUGUCAAUUUCAAUGCUCUAGAUGGCAGAAAAUAUCUAAAAACCCACUACUCUUUCAACUUGCUAGGUUAACUUUCUCUCAUAAAAACUGUAAAAUACGAAUACACAAUGGAAAAAUCUAAAUGCACUGUUGAUGGUUCUAGCUGUCUUCUGCUGCUGUUUUGGGGGUUAAACUCCAGUGAUUAGAAUUCCAUGCCUGCUAUUACCUUAAAAUUGAUGCCUGUGCUACCAUAACAUUUGCCUUUCAUCUUCUGCAGAUGUUCAUAUUCUAAAGUUACCAAACAAGUGCUCUCUUCUCUCUCUCUCAUUCUCUCUCUCUCUCUCUCUUUCUCUGUCUCUCUCUCUAACCACCUCUCCACUUGUGAUAAAAGCAUUGAAUAAUGGCUGAAAUCAAAAGAAUUCUGUGAUCAUCUAGAGAUGGCUGCCCUUCUCUCCUACUGACUCAGUUUCUUGCAACUAAACAUCUCCUUCUCUUUCAUUACUGCAUUACUGUUGGACAAGCCUAAGACCACAUUCAUACCACACAUUUAAAGUGCUAUGAUACCACUUUCAACAGUCAUGGCUUGAAACAACUAAUCCCUCUUCACAGAGAACUCUGGGAAUUGUAGCUUUGGGAAGGGAAUGGGGUCUCCCCAAAAUUUUCAUCACCUGUAACAAACUACAGCUCCCAGAAUUCUUUAGGGGGAAUCAUGACUGCUGAAAGUGAUAAGACUAGGAUCACAUACCCUCCAAUAUUUAUCUGAUGUUCUAUUCUACUGUUGUUGUUGUUGUUGUUGUUGUUGUUGUUGUAACCCACCCAUCUGACUGGAUUGCCCCAGCCACUCUGGGCAACUUUCAACAUAUAUAAAAACAUAAUAAAACAUUAAACAUUAAAAGACUUCCCUAUUCAGGGCUGUUUUCAGACAGCUCGGGGUUCGAAUAACUCAAUAACCUCCCAACAUUGCUCCAAUGAAAACGGGUGUCUGAAGGAAAAGCCGGACAUUCUGGGAUCAAAUCAGAAUCUGAGACGGCUUCUGUCCCUGGAAAAAAGGGACACUUAGAGAGUCUGGGAUCAGGCCCACAUCUACAGCACGGGCUGAAGGAAGCACAUGAGGCAGAAAAUAGCAUGCAAAGUUACAGGCUUUAGAUAGGUUAAAAACAGAGGGCCAUGUUAUGAAAUGAAAACCUGUCAAGUAAUAGAGUUAUUUACUGUGGGACUGAUAAUGGUGCUUUUAUUGGCAGUAGGCAAGAUGUAAGGCGUUCAUGAAGUGGAGUGUUCAUGCUCUAAGUGAAUGUUGAUGGUAAUACACAUCUGAGAGCGUUUCUGGCUCUGAGCCUCAGAUCACUUAUUUUGGAGUGGUCUCAGAGGGCUAUGGCUUCCCAUUCUAAUACCACAGAAACACAGUAAGAAUUAUGACUACGGUCCACUGGGAAGUUUUCUUGAAGAAGCUCCAAUUAAAUGUAUUCUUUUGGGGCCUCUGCAGAAGAAAUGCCCAAUUAAUUGCGCCCUGUUGUCUUGGGGGACCUGCUUGUCAGGAGCUUCCUUUACACACACACCUCAAUUUUUAAAAACUAGCAGCUAGCAUUAGUGGAGGACCCCCCACCCAUUCCCACCCACUCCUCAAAUAAUUAUGUGAAGCACUGGAGAGCUAAAUAAAAAUGCUCUAAAAUGCAAAAAUGAACAAACAAUGUUUGUAUACGACCUGCAGAUGGCAGUAAGAGAUAAACUACAGGAAAAUAUUCUUAAUGUAAUUCUGGCUCUUUCUCUCAAUGGGCUGCCAGGCUGCAAAAUUUGUAAUCGCUGCAUGCAACUUUCUUUUAGCCAGGCUAACACCCAUGUUUGUUUGUUUUUUAAAAGACUUGGCAUCUCUUGUUAGGAACGGAGUAACAUAUUCCCAAUAAUGUGAAUGACUUCCCAAUGCUAUUGCUCACUUACACAGUGAGGUUUUCUCUCAGGCUUUUUAUUUACAUCAGGGUUAUGCUUUUAGCAUAAUGUGUCAACAGCAUUUAUUGAACACGGUCACAUCAUUUUACCACUGGGCAGAUGCAAACAAAAAUGGGAAAAUCAUCUCCAAGUCAAAAUCAUCAUGGUCAUCUGAAUUAUUAUUUUUUUAACAUGCUGGGCUACUUCAAAGGUUUAAGAAGAAAAACAGUGAAUUACGAUAAAUUUACAGCCCAACCCUAUGCAUGUCUCCUCAACAAUAAGUCCUGUGACUGAAAUGGAACUUACUCUGAGGUAAGUAUGCACAUAAUUGCAGCCUUAAAAUGCCAUCCUAAUCACAGUUAAUAGAAAAUCAACCCCACUGAACACAUUGGACCUUCCUUCUGAGCAAACAUUAUUAGGAGUUGACACUUUUACCAUAUAAUCUCAUAGCUGUUGUCCUGUACCUGAGUUCAAUGGGACUCACUUCCAGGUCUACACUUAAGGUUUUUAACAUUAAGGAAUGGUUUUGAUAAUGUAGAUGGACACAUGACGUUCUACUUUUACGUUCAUGACGUCUUAUUACCUUGUCUUUUUUAUCACUUAAUUUUUUAUCGUUUUAUGCUGCUAUAUUGGUGAAACACUGCUCAUAUGUCCCUAUGUAGUGUUUUACCUUUUUUUUUUACUGCAUUCAAACUGUGACCCCCCCCCCCAUGGGAGCAAGGAAGAAUUAAAAUGGUACACAAGAGCAACCAACAGCACAGAUAGAAACAGCGUACUAGAAAAUGGUGUGGCCGGGUAUUACUUACAUUUGACAGAAAAAAGCAAGGUAAAGAACAUUUUAAGUAACAAGCAUGCCCUGCGACGUUUUAGAACGACAUAUCUAAUAUUGUUCUAAUAGGAGGAAAUAACAUUAAACAGGUCAUUGUAGAUCCAGCCUUAAUGUGGCUAAUGUAGAUGCAUAUAAUGCACAUUAUAAUGUGGCUAAUGUAGAUGCAUAUAAUGCACAUUAUAAUGUGGCUAAUGUAGAUGCAUAUAAUGUGAGCUGCCCGCAGGCAUCUGGUUGACGAAAACAGGAUGCUGGACUAGGUGGGCCAGUGGCCUGACCAAGCAGGUUGUUCUUAUGUUCUUAUAGUUACAUUGUUAUGAUUAAUAAAAGACUAUAUAUUCUAGACUGAUGCACAGGGAUUCUCAUCAGAGCCCUAGGUAGAAAGAAGGAACAAUGCAAUUAUAAUAAGAAUAGCACAGGAAAGACUUGGUAACAAAUAGUUUUGAAAAUCAGGAUGCAGGAAGAAGUGUGUGUAUUUUGCAGUCUGCAUAAAGGAAGGCAUCCCUUUGUAUGAAACAGAAUGGAAUGUCAUGAUCUGAAAUGCACCCAGAGGCUGCAUCAUUGAUUGCUAUCACGCCUUUGUAUUACUGAAGAGGUGAUAUGUUUCUCAGUCACACUACCUGUGGCUGGCUGUGUUGUAUUGAGGGAUUUGAGCAUUAUAAACGGCUUGAAUUUUCUGCUCUGACUAGGUUUGCUGUUGGUAACCUCUAAAACACACACACACACAGAGCCCAGAACUAUUGCAUUCCAAAGGAGAAGGCACUCUAAUCCAAAAUAGGACUUGUAGCUCAGAUUAAGGCUGCAAAGCCCUAUGCCCACUUACCUGAGAAUAAGCCCCUACUGAAAUAAGUGGGACUUAAAAUUGGGUCUACAGACUUGUAUAAGAUUAAACUGUAAAGCCCUUAGCAUUUUCUGGAUCCCUCAUCCUAGAAACGUUGGAGGGUAUAUUGUUGUUGCUUUUGGUGGGGGGGGGCUCUCAGUUUUUCUUUUAAACAGCUUCUGCAAACCUCAGGGUUUGCAUGCCAACGUUUCCUCUUUCUUCUCAGUGGGCCUGCUUGCUAUUUGGAGUGACUAUUCUAGUUUAUGGGACAUGGGUGGCACUGUGGGUUAAACCACAGAGCCUAGGACUUGCUGAUCAGAAGGUUGGCGGUUUGAAUCCCCGUGACAGGGUGAGCUCCAGUUCCUCGGUCCCUGCUCCUGCCAACCUAGCAGUUCGAAAGCACGUCAAAGUGCAAGUAGAUAAAUAGGUACCGCUCCGGCGGGAAGGUAAACGGCGUUUCCGUGCGCUGCUCUGGUUCGCCAGAAGCGGCUUAGUCAUGCUGGCCACAUGACCCGGAAGCUGUACGCCGGCUCCCUCUGCCAAUAAAGCGAGAUGAGUGCCGCAACCCCAGAGUCGGCCACGACUGGACCUAAUGGUCAGGGGUCCCUUUACCUUUACCUUUAUUCUAGUUUAUAUUCAUGCUACUGUAAUUGUUCCAUCCUUUUUUAAUACUGAAUUUUAAAUUGCUGAAGAGUAAAGCUAUAAUAAUAAAUGUUGGCAGCCUGCCAUUACUCUAAUUUCUUUCAAGCCUAGAACAUGGUUGCUCCUUCCUUGGUUUACGUUAAUAUUUCUAAGCUGCAGAGAAUUUUAAAGAAACCUGAAAAUGGGGGGAAACACACUUUUAACCACUUGGAAAUGCUGUGCAAUUGAACCACAGCAGGGGCCCCAGUUGGGCUGGUGCAUUAGUCUUAACAUAACAGUACAUCUAGCUUUGCCUGUAUCAUGGCUUCAGUAUUGGUAUGAGCAAAAAAACCCCCACACCUUGUCACUUCAAAGUGGUGAGGAAGACUUGGGUUCCUGUGGAAGAAACAGGUUUGAGUCUGUCAUACGGGUAUGGACUGGGGGAAUGCAGUUGAACUAGGGGAUUUAUAUCAGACAGUAGCAUGGACUUGCCUUCUGGCAGUCACCUAAUGAUCCAGGCAAGGAGGAUACUGGGUCAUGGUACACAGUGCAUUUGGUUAAACUGCCUACAGUUCCUUUACAGCCCUGAUGGUGCUCUUAGAAUAUUAUGCCCUGUUUUGGGGUGGAUAGGAUGAGUUGGAGCUAACUGCAAAAAGAAAGGAAAAUCUAUUAAAAUCUACAGGCCACCCAACAUAUGAUGCAGUUCCAGAACAUAGCAGAAACUUAUGGGCUGAUAUCCCUCAGAUGGUACCAUUUUUCUGGUGGCUUAUGGCAAACUUUCUGACCCUCAGUUUUUUGGCAUUGUGGUAGAACAGCAGCAUUCAAGGUGCUACAUUUAAUAUUUUAUUCAGGUAGGUUCAGAAAUGUGCAAUAAAUGUAAUUGGAAGAGUGUUUUCCAAUUAAAAUGCCAUAUAAAAGUACUUAAAUGCAUUGCUUAGCAUUAAAUACUUAUUGAACACUAAUUGCAUUUGUUUGCCAUUUUUCAGAGGCAUUUAAAGUGGCUGCAGAUAGGCUGGAUUCCAAUCUGGCUCAUCAGUGGAUUUUGAAACUGUUGUUGUUAUGCAUUUGAAGUGCUCUGGAAUGUAUGUUCAUCCUCUGAGGUCUUGCUUGUGAAUCCUCACUACCAAAUUCAGUGGAUCAAUGAAAUAAAAAACAUGGUUGAUUCCUAAAGGUGAGUUAAAAGCCCUCCUUGCAUAAGGUUUUGCAGUCUCUUCUCCUUUUGAAAUUUGAUGUGUGAGCACUGCAGGAUGUGAUCAGAGCUUUGCUGUUGACAUCUGUCUGUCUUGGGAGACAAUGGAGGAGUGCACUUUUGGGGGUGAAGUCAAACUGCUGGAAGGUUGUAGCACCUACUGUGGCUGUAGAGACCGAUAUAAGAGAGACAUGUUUUGUUGCACCUGGGGCAGAUGAAAGCGUCUGGCUGUGCUGCUGUGGCUUUUCUUCUCUCUAUGUUCCUCUCAGAGGUCAUUCCUCCUCUGGUCACUGCUAUGGAUGCACAACCUGACUGUCUCUGGCCACUGUGGUCAUCUGCAAGGGAUUCUCACAUGGUAGGAUUACGUUGCCAGCCUUCAAGUCACAUCUGCAGACAUCUUUGUAACUCAGAGCUGGUCUGCCAAUGGGCCUGGUGCCUGACGUCAGCAGUCCAUAGAGCAUGUCCCUGGGGAUCCUGCCAUCUUCCAUUCUCUGGACAUGUCCAAGCCAGCAUGGCUCACCUCUCCAUACCCUUUUUGAGAGGUGAGCCAUUGCUUUAUGUAUUAAAAAUAGAGCUUUAUGUAUUAAAAAUAGUGUGGGUGUUAGAUGACCAUUCAAACUCUGUGCUGGGAAAGUUGAAUUCUGUGACCUUUAUCUAUGAUACAGAUCAGAUAAUUUUGUGUAGUUUCCCCUACAUUCCUCUGCAACUUAUCCUGCACACAGUUCUUAUUGUGUUAGUUUUGGGAAAGGGCAUAAAGCUAUGUAGAUCACUGUGCCUCUGUUAUGGAUCACUGGCUAUCUUACCUUGCAAUCUCAUCUUAUCUGGCUUCUAAGAUUUCAGCAGGCAUUGCCCACUCAAUUUCAAACAUGUAUUUGUUUACCAAUGAGGGCUAAAACUUGCUUCAUUCAAAUGAAAGCUAAGGUUCUCAGGAAGUUGGAUUUUGCAGCCAAUACCGUGUUCUACACUCUUUCUAUAUCCCAACUUAUUCAUUGCAUGCACACAGUCUGGGUUAUGCAUCAAAGCACAUGGUGCUUUGCUUUAUAGGUACUGGAGCUUAAAGUCUUAAUUUUGACAAUGAGGGAUAUGGCAGAGCUGCCAGUGGUGAAGGAAGAGUAGGUCUCUUGAGGUAGAAGUUUUGGAAUUCGGCUGCUUAUGAAACAAGAAAUUUUGAAGAGUUAACCAUCAAUCCCUCAGUGAUUGAAAGUGAGGGAAUCCUAAGAGUUUUGCAGAGGAGUACGAGGGAAUCCGCAAGAUCAUUGAAGAAGAUUUAAGUGUGCACAGUCAGAUUUACUGACUGAGUAGGGAUAUCAGAGAAUUCUGGUGAAAAUGGAAGUGGAAAUUCCCAGUGAUUGCUUGCAUGUCACAUGUCCAGAACAGUAAUCAAUCCAGUGAAUAUUAUUGACAUUUGCUGCUACUGUUGCCUUCAGUCCACAAAUGGUAUGUAGUCGAUUAGGUUCUCCCACGCUUGCUCACCCACCCAAAUUUGCAUUGUGUUUUCUUUGCAAUAAAAUAAGCCAGCUGGAAUAACAUAAUGACAAUAAUGGAAGUUACAUAGUUUUGCUGCAGCAGCGAGAUGAACAAUUGUUUUUGUGUGUGGAGGGGGAACUGCUGUGGAAUGGAAACAGGGCUGCAUGCAGUGAGUAAAGGAUGGAACAGAAAACGGGAGGUGGUUGUGAAGGGAAACCGUGUAAGAGACAGAAGUCUCUGCAGCUUUGCCUGCACUUGAAAAAACAGUGACACUGCCCCCCGCCCCCGCCGCCCCAGUGAUACGAUGUAAAGGCAUUGUUUAAACCAGACAGUGUUGUUCCAUCUGAAAGGAAGGGCAGAGAGAGCAGGCAGUUGGCGAAGUCCACCUACCUUCAAACGGUCAGGCGGCACUGCAGCCUGGCCAUGUCUCUGAUUGUGAUCCGGAGCAUUAUUUUCUUGCCUGCUGAACUGUGAGUAUAGUCCCACCUAUUCACCAGGUUCUUCUUCAAAUCAAUAUUUCAAGGGUCUUUGGAUAGGGGAAAAACCCUCAAGUGAUCAUGAUAACAUAAAAUGAUCAGGCAGAGGGCCUUCAGAUGUCAGAUGUCAAGGAGAUGAGAAACUAUAUAACCUUUAGAAGACAUCUGAAAGCAGCUCUGCAUAGGUAAGCUUUUUAAUGUGUAACAUUUUGUUAUGUUUUUAUAUAUGUUGGAAGCCACCUAGAGUGGCUGGGGCAAAUCAGACAGAUUUGGGGUGUUGUUGUUGUUGUUAUUUUGUGUUGACUUGAAUGCUGGUUACUAAUUAAUGUAAAGUAUUAUUUUUUCGAUAAUGCCAGAGUGAAAUAUCCCCCCACUCAUUUUCAGAUGUUUCUGGUGUAUGACUGGAACACAGUGGGAGAUGCCCUUAAAGGCAGGUUCUAACGGCGUCCCAAAAAAAUAAAAAUAAAAUCCAUAGCAUUUUGUUGGCAGGACUUUUCACAUAUCCAGUAAACUAGGGGUAGGGGACCUUUCUUAGUCCAAUGGCCAUAUUCCCUCAUACCAGAGGUGGGCAGGGCCAGAGACCUGGGGUGUAGCAACAGAUAUGAUUCUUUCCUUUGUACAGUAGGUUACAUCCCAGCCAUAUGAAAGUCGAAACCCCCAUAGACCCAUCUCUCUCUCUUCUCAAUCCAGGUAAGCAGGAGGCAUUUUCACAGUUCAAUGACACAUUCCAGCGAGGCAAAAACUCUCAUGGAUGGUGCAAAGCAUCCAGGGAGAGUUGGGUGGCCCAAGCAGAAUUCAGUGGGUCAGCCAGAAAGGCCCGGAGAGCUGCAUUUAGUCCCCUGUGGCAAACUACCUGAUUAUGGAGAAUGAGACCAUGCCAUCCUCUUUAACAAAGCCGCCUUCAGAAGGGCAGCAGCAGUCAUUCAGCCUCAUGGCUCAAAUGGCAACUAAGCAUAUCAUAACAGCAGGGAUGAUUUCUCAAUUGCUGGCUGCCAGGGGCAAAAGAGCAUUAAGGACGACAAGAUGUUCCUGGCUUCAGGAGAAGAGGUCUUAGAAAAUGCUCAUCUCAUGCCUGACUUGUCAUAUGGCAUUCGGCAUUUUUGGAACACUUUUAGAAAAUGUGGAUUGUAGAAAGCAAAGACAGUAGACUUUUUUAUUAGCAAAAUGUUGAGGAAAGCCAAUGAGACCAAUGCUAAGAAAGCUACCAUCAGUUUGACUCUAUAGAAAUUACCUCUGAAAGUAUAGUCUUUGUGAAAUAUAGUCAUUGGUUUUUUUAUAUGUGUAGCAUUACAAUUUCUGUACUUCUUGACCUACUUCCUUUUUUCCUAUAAUGUUUUUGACCACAAUUUUUAUAAAAUCUCUGUAUUUUUUAUAAUUUAGAUGAAUUUUCUUUUUUCUUUUUUUGCAUAUUAAGAAAGAAAAUACCUUCAUAUUUUUAAAAGAUGAUCUCCAUGAUUAAGCUCCAUUUCACAACUCUCAAGUCAGGCUUGAUUCCACAAAAGUAAAGUAAUCCAUAUGAAAUUCACUGGAUACUGGAGCAAAUCUCUUACUGUCCAUGCUGAUCAUAGGUGAGCAUUCUAACACUAUAUAUAAUGUUAAUACAUUUUUAUUUAGCUUUUUGUUAAUUAUCUGGGACAAGUUGAAGUUGGGAGCUAGGGUGAAAUUAAUUGUACACAGUGCCCCAGUUUCUUGAGUUCCUUGAGUAAUUGUAAUGCAUAGCCUUUUGUACGUGCCAAAUAAUUCAGAAGGUUUUUCAAAAGAAAGAAGUUGAAAUUCAGCUGUCACUUGCAGGAUGGAGUACCAGUGGGCUUGGAAGCUGGAGACUCUCAAAUUCCCAGCUGUUAUUGAGGGUAUGAUGGCAAGGUAUUUAGCGGAAAGUGCUUCUCUGGCCUCACCUCCAAAAACUGCUCAUUGAUUAUUUGCAUAUUUCUUACCAGUUUGCUCCUUCUAAAUAACACCUGCUGCUCAAGUUGCCUUAGAAAGCUGACGGCACCUGUUUCAUCUACCUCUCCACAUGACAGGUAACGGAGGAACUCAUUCUUUCAGUCCUGCACUGGUAUGCAUAGUUUAAAUUGUUUAAUUUCUUUCAAAAUCGUGUAACUAAAAGCCCUUCAGAAAUUAGACUCUGUACAUUCAGAGAGAAGGUGAGAAGGCGAAUCUUGUCCCAAAUGUCACUGCCCCUGCAAAAUAUUGCGGCUAGAGUGUUGAUGGGUACAGGGUACCAUCAACACACCACUCCUGUGCUCAAAAGCUUGUACUGGCUGCCUAUAUGCUAUUUAGAAUCAAUGAGGUGGUGAGCUAUAUACAACUUAAAAUAACAUCAAUCAAGUAGGGAAAAUUAUAGUUAAAAAGAAAGCUGCAUAAAGAUAACAGAAUAGUCAACCAUGGAGACAAUUAAAAGCAAUUUGUUUGACAGCCAGAUGCAACAGAAAUGCCUUUGCCAGUUUCCUAAAACUUGUCAAAGACCAGACCUGGUGGGCCUCUUUAGGGGAGCCGUUUCACAAGCAAUUCACUACUAAUAUUGGUACUGUGGGACAAGAGCAUAGAAAAGCCCAAAUUAACAUGCCUUCUGUUUUAAAAUAUGUUGAUUGGAAGGUUGCAAGUUCCAGGGAAGCUUUCGGGAAAGUUGUGAGCAAAUAUGGCCUUUUUAAAAAAUGGAAUGGCCUUUCAAAACCAAGUGCAUUGCAAGGAAAAGUAAAUUGAAGUAAAUCUGUGUCAUCUUGUCUGUACUGUAAAUUAUAGUGUUUGCAUAGUUUUGCCUUAGUUAUCCGGUUCAUUAACACUGGGGACAAGUGCUUGUUAUAUGCUAUUUAAGUAAGUUGGCAUUUCUUUGUUCACACACUUUUACUGGCAUAAUUAGAUGUCAGAUGAAGUUUGAUGCUCACUGACCUUUACAGCAAAAAGGAAAGUAUAUACUCCUAAGCAAAACUUUAAUUUCUUAGCCAAGAUGACAUACAAAAAAGGCUGCAAAGUGAGAACAGUGAUCUGUUAUAUUGGAUGAGCGUCUGUUGAUGAUAGCACAUCAUCAUGUGUGUUUUCGGGGUUGUUGGGUGGGUUUUUUGGGAACCUUGCCAAUUUACAUUUUUUAAAUAACUACUUUCUUAACUACUUUGUACCUAACUCACAGCUCCUUACAGUCAGUUAUUCUUCUUCAACCAGUCUGCUCUUUCUGCCAAUCCUAUUGCUUUCGCUAAACCCUAAUAUUCUAUUCGUUUGUAGUUCCUUCUGCAAGAGAACAAACUGUUUUGGGGUUGUUGUUGUUUUUAUUAAGCUCUGCUGUGUCCCUCCUGUUCUCUCUCUUUGCUGAGAAAUUGCUGUUUCUUCAAUCUGUGGCUUUCCUCUGAGUCACAGAGUUGUUCCUUCUGUUUGCUUUUCUAAUUCUCUUACUUUCUUCCUCCUAAGGUGACAGGGGCCUGGAUUUGAUAGCGGAUUUGAUAGUGGUUCAUUCUUCUAAAACCAUCUUGGCAAGAAUACAGCCUAUAGUCUAGCAAGUAGUCCUUUAUUUUCAGGUAGGUAGCCCUGUUGGUCUGACACAGUUGAAAUUAAAAAUUAAAAAAUAGUCCAGUAGUACCUUAGAGACCAGCUAAGUUUGUGCUAGGUGUAAGCUUUCAUGUGCAUGCACACUUCUUCAGAUACACUGAAACAGAAGUCACCAGACCCUUAUAUAUAGACCCACCCCGCCCUCCCACUAUAUAUAAGGGUCUGGUGACUUCUAUUUCAGUGUAUCUGAAGAAGUGUGCAUGCACGUGAAAGCUUACACCUAGAACAAACUUAGCUGGUCUCUAAGGUACUACUGGACUAUUUUUUAGUCCUUUAUUUGUUUGCUUGUUUCUAUAACGCUUAAACUGAUACCAUAAUCACAGAUAUCACAAUCAUAACUGAAACCUCAUGCCAGCUUGAAGGCUUACAAUCAAGCUAUUAUUAACUCUGGGGUCAUAAAACUGAUGAUAGGCAGGAAAUGAAUCUAAAUAAAUAAAUGCUAAGGGCAAAGCAUCAGGAAAGAGCAAGGAGAAAAAUGGAGAAGAGAGAUAUGUCUAUGCAAAGAUAUAUAAUGUAUUGUAAGUUUGUGGGGUUAGCACAGGAAUGGAUUAAUGGAGCCAGAAGGACUACUUGAAACUAUAUAGUUUCCAGGAACACCUUCUGUUAGGAGAAUUAUAAGUCAAAUGCCUAGGUGUGACAUGGUUGGAGAAGAUUCUUCAUCCUUAUCCUCUCCUUUCUAGUCAGAGAAGAGACUGCAAACUAGAAAUAGUUUUAGAGAGAGAAUGAAUGAGAGAGCUGGAGAGUGCAUGGUUACCUUAGGAAUUUUUGUUUGGUGCUGGCUAUCCGACAAUCUACAAGAAAAGGUUAGGUCUUGAGAGGUAUUCUGAAAGAUGAAAGAGAAGAACUGAGUUAAAGUGCAGGGGAAAUAUAAUCCCAUUAAGAGGCUAAAGUGAAAGAGAGCAACAAAUGUACAAGCAAACAACUCAAAGAGAUGACCAUAGGAAGGCAAACUCUAGGUAGAAAUACAGAACAGUAAAAUCCUGACUCCUGGACUCUCUGAUAAAGGAGCAAUAUGAAAGGAAAUCAGCAAUUCAAGUGGACUGGCAAUAGCUAAGUGGUCGGAGUAGACUAUGCCCUCCAAGCUUCGCUGUGUGACAGUCAAAUCACAGAGCAACCUAUAUUGCCAGUUCUGGAAUCAGAUAUUUCCUAUGGAGCCUUUUCCUUUAAUCUCUCUUUUGGUUACUUUUACCCCUUCUAGCUCUCUUAAAUCAGAGACAGGGAAUCUUUUUCUGACCAUGGACCGUGUUACCUCUGUGAAAAACUGGGUGAGAGCAGCAGAAGCCCCAUAAGUGGCCACAAUCACACACUCUGUACACAGACAUGCUUCACACAUCCACAAGUACACACACACAGCAAGGUUGAUGUGAUGGCUUGUGAAUGCUCUUCGCAAGCAAUGCCUCUGCUCACUCAGAGAUACAUAUAUACAGUCUUUAUUUUACAUAUGUACAAGCAGCGCAUUACAAUCAUGCAUCCGAAUCCUCCGGCUUAGAUUCUGGGAGUGGCUUAUGCCAGUUCCUUCUCCAACAGAAAAGGCGGGGAAGUUUCACGUGAUACCUCUCACCUCUCCUCUUUAACACUCUCCUUUCCCUGCCAGACGGAAUAGGCAUUGUUUCACUGUCUGUGCCAGAACUUCCUGUGCAGUGUUGAGGCUCUGGUUCAACAUUUGUGAGCCAUUCCGCCUCCUGGCUUUCCCCUCUUUCCUCAAUCGCCACUUCCUGCCCCCCUCCCUCUGUCUGUCUCUGCUCCUCCCCUGCAUUCUCUGGCAAUACCAUGACAGUUGAGAGGGAGGAAAGAGAGGGAGGUAAAGGGAUGUGUGUGUGAGCAAGAGAGUUUCUGUAUUGUGUGGUGGCUUGCAAAAGUUAAGAGUCCCUUUCUCACUGCAGAGCACAGGAGCCAAGCGAUUUGGGGUCUUAGUAGACCACAAGCUUAACAUGAGUCAACAGUGUGGUGCAGCAGCAAAAAAGAAAAAGAAAAAAGCUAAUGCUAUUCUAGGCUGCAUCAACAGAAGCAUCAUGUCUGAUCAAGGGAAGUAAUAGCACCACUCUAUUCUGCCUUGGUCAGACCACACCUGGAAUACUGUAUUCAGUUAUGGGCCCCACAAUUGAAGAAGGAUGUUGACAAGCUGGAACAUGUGCAGAGGAGGGCAACCAAGAUGAUCAAGGAAACCAAGCCUUAUGAAGAACGGUUGAAGGAGCUGUUUAGCCUGGAAAAGAGGAGAGUGAUGAGAUAUGAUAGCCAUCUUUAAAUAUCUGAAGGGCUGUCACAUGAAAGAUGCAGCAAGCUUGUUUUCUCCUGCUCUGGAGGGUAGGACUCGAACCAUUGCCUUCAAAUUACAAUAAAGGAGAUUGUGACUAAACAUCAGGAAGAACUUUCAGACAGGAAGAACUGUUCAACCGUGGAUCAGUCUUCUUUGGAAGGUUGUGGACUCUCCUUCCUUGAAGGUUUUUAAGAAGAAGUUGGAUGAUCAUCUGUCAUGGAUGCUCUAGCUGAGAUUCCUGCAUUGCAGGGGGUUGGACUAGAUGACCCUUGGGGUACCUUCCAACUCUACAAUUCUAUGAUUCUAUAAUUUGGCUAUGUAGAAAGAGAGAGAUCAUUCUAAGAAUGAUAAGAAGCAGUGGGCAAAGAAGAGGCUGAGAGGCUACAAAGCCAAUUGGGAAGACUUCUUGGGGCAGCCCACAGGAUGCUGGUUCCCCAUCCUUGGCUUUUAUGUAGGAAGGUGGAUCCACUUGAUUCCAGGAUCUAGUUAAAAGAAGGUUAAAAGAAAAGUAGACAUGGAGACAUUGGGUAUCACUGAUUUGUUGAGAUAGACAUUCUCCAUUCUUGUGGAGGUGGAGGCAGUGAUGAGGGCAGCAAGAGAAGAUUGCAGCAAAGUACUCAGAAGUUUGGCUGCACUGUUGUAGAGCAUUUCAAAAUUGCCUGGAAAAAGAAGUUGUUGGCAAGAACUAGUAGUCUCUUCAAGUGACAUGCCCAAGCAUUGCACUGACAUAUUGAUGCUUUGCUGUUCCAAUAUUCAAAUGAAAAUGAUAAAUAGUUGCCCAUUUGAGGGACUGGGCCUCGGGAAAAUUCUUGUCUGAAAUAGUAGCAGGCUGCCAGAUGUUGCUUUAAGCAGUGUCGUUUUGUUCUUGUCAGCUCAUCCAGUUAAUGGAAGCAAUUUUGGUGCACUCCCUAGAGCACCUCAUGUAUAUGUCAAAAAUAAUUUGCAUGUGUUGGAAUGAAAUUAAUAGAGUUGAUUAGGUGGAGCAUAUUUCUUGCGUAAGGUUUCACACGGGGUUUUCUUCAGCAAUGUGAGAAGUUAUGCACGUCAGCAGGUACAAAUCGGUGCUUUGUGGCCACAGGCUAGAGAAGGGAUGGGCAAGUGGCAGUGUGCAGGGCACAUCUGGCCCUCAGAGCAAUAUUGUCUGGUCCCUGGCAGUCCUGACGAAUUUUAAUCAAGGCAUGAUCAAAAGUUCUCAGCUUCACUUGCAAGGAAAAGAAAAGUUCCUGCAGUAAGACAUACAGAAACCCCACACAUAAUUAGUUCUCCCUCUUGGAUUUUGUACAUACUGUGUAAAUAUGCAUAUUUGUGUAUAAUUUUAUGACAGACUGCAUAACUGGGAAGCCUUUACUGCUUGAUGGUGCCAAUUUUAUUAGGGAGCCUGCCCAUUUGUGAAGGAGUCUAGACAAAGCACAUUGAGCUUCUGUGAGCUUCUGGACCACUGUCUAGAGAACAGAAUGAGCGCUGAAAACACAAGCCAUCCCUUUGAAACAUGUGCAUCUAAAGUGUUUUCAGUGUACUUAGCAAAGUGUAUGCGUAGCAAAUAUGGGUAUUAUGCAGUUAAACCUGCCAAAGAGCUUCUGAUUGGGAAGGGGUCCUUGUUGAGUAUGCACACAGUGGCAAAUGAAUGUAAAUGGCAAUUAUACCUAGCAAAAGCUCUUGUGUGCUUAAACAAUAAUUUAAUUAACAAGAGUAAAAAAUAACAAGUCAACAAUUUCCACUAAAAAGAAAUUAACUAUAAAGUGAAGUUCCACAAUAACAUAUAGCUCACAAUAAAUGCAACUCAUGGUGGUGGAAAUUAUGUAUUUGCAUCUUGAACAAAAUGAAAAGACUUCAGGCUGAUCUUUUCUUCUUUUUGUUGUCUCAUAUAUAUGAAAUCUGCAUGCCUCACCAGUUUAGCUCUGUUUUGUAAUUUACGUAAAGGUUUUGAAAGGCUAUAAACUGAAACAAAAUGGCAACUUUAUGAAUCUCAGCAUAUUUGCUAUUAGUUGCUUUCCUUCAUGGAAUCUUUUUGGUGACCUAAAAGUAUUGCCACUUCAUCUAACGACCCAUCCAAUGAACCUAUUAAGAUUGCUUGCCAAAGCAGUAAAGGAUAUAGAGUUUUAAUAUUUGUUGGGGACUGGCAUUUAAUGGGUUUUGUAAAAAAAAUAAAAAAUGGCAAGUUUGCACUUUCCCAAUCUAGCCAUGAUCCAAAGACCCUUACAACUAGUUCCAUGUUCCCAAGUGGGGUUUGACCUGGCAUUUGUUAAACAGCAGCUGCCCAAGCUGCCUUACCUACAGUAGCUAAAUAUUACAUGUAUUUAGUAAUUAAGAGUCGGUGUGGUUGAAUAGUCUGAGCAAUAGAAUUGGACCCAUGAGGUUUCUCUGCUUAGUUGGGGACUCAGUUCUCUCCAGUUUGAAUGCUCGGUCCCUAAACUGGUAACCCACUAAAGAAGGAUGUCAGAGUGAACACAGGGAUAUUAAAGCAUUCUGAAUACUAGAAAUAUGUUUAAAUCAUCGUAUAUCUGGUAGCAAAAAUGUCCACAUCAUUAAAAGAGCAAAACAUAAAGAGGACUUCUCUGCCUGAACUCAUCUUGUAAUACUAAAUUGCUAGUAGCUGGGUUGAUAAUCUGAUGAAGUAUCUCCUCUCAAUGAAAACAGUUGAUUCAGGGCUUGAUCUAGUCCUCUGGCUCUAAUCUUGCAGGAAAAAUAGAUUUGGAGCAGAAAAUGCAUAUUCAAAUGAGCCAUUUUCUUAAUAAAAAAAACAACCCUCAGAGCAUAGCCUGAUUCACAAAAUCCUUCAACAUUCCAGGAGCAGGCAACAGCAGCAAAUCUAUAUUCUGAUGACUGCCUCUUUCCAACACAUGGGAGGAGGAAAGGAAAACACAACAGGCGACCAGUAUGUCGUCCAGGUGGAGCAGCUUUGUGGCAGGCAAAGCCUUCCCCACUAAUGUCAUUCAUGAGGAAGAUGCCCAGCCAACCAUGAGGAGCAGCAGCCAGAGCGCCUUCCCAAAAAUGCUGGAGAAAGCAGACAUGAUGUGAAAUUGUUAGAUUAUGGCGAGGGCAGAAAAGUGGAGAUGUUUGGAUGAACUGUGAGAGGCACACUGUGAGAGGGCUCGAGAGGCUGUAAAUAGAUUUCAUUUCAUUUAAAUAUUUCGGGGCCACUUUUCAUUCCAAAUCUCAAUGUGCUCUACAGUAAAAACAAAACAAAAGCAACAAUACUAUGAAACAUCAUUUUAAAAAAGCCUCCGCAGCAGGCAGGUUAAUUAAAAGCUGGCACCCAGUGAUUUGGAAAAGCCUGUGUAAACAUACAUUUUUAGCAAGAGAAACAAAUUGCUGUUGGUGCCUCCUGUAUCAAUGGCAAGGAGAUCAUAGUAACACCAAUUUUUAAAAAAAGCAUCUGGAAAACUACAGGUCAGGUAGCUUAAUGUCUGCUCCAGUGAAACCGGUGCAAAGCACUGUAAACAAUAAAACAACCUAGUAUAUAGAAGAACAAGUGUUUCUGAAGGGGAACUAGAAUGUUUGCAAAGGCCAGUUCUCUGGCUCAGUAACCCUUUAGAGUUCUUAGAGUAACCCUUUAGAGUUCUUAGAGAGGAUCAGCAAGUGAUCCAGCUUACAUGCACUUGGACUUUCAAAAAGCUUUUGAUGCAAUCCUUAAGGUUCCUGAAGAACCUUGGUAGUCAUGGAAUAAGGGCACAAAUCCUCCUAUGGAUCAGUAACUGUUUAAAGAGCAAGAAACAGAAAGGAGAAAUGAAUGGACUUCUCCCAAUGGAAGGAAACGGGGAUUCCCAAAGAUUGAUACUGUGACCUGUGCUUUUUAACUGACUCAUAGAUGAGUUGGAGUUUGGGAAUGAGUUAGGUAGUCAUGUCUACCAAUGACACCAAAUCCUGAGUUGGUAAAUGCAAAAAGGGAUUGUGAGGAGCUCUAAAAAGAUCUCUCCAAGCUAGGUGAACGAGUGUUCAAAUGGCAAAUGGGAUUCAAAAUAAGCAAGUGUAAAAGUGAUGCACAUUGGGGCAAUAAAUAAAUCCUAAUUACCUUAUACAGUGACUGGCCAGGGAAGAGAUAUUGGGCCAUGGUGGGAUAGUUCAACGAAAAUGUUGACCCAGCAUGCAGCAGCUGUGAAAAAGGUGAACUCCAAUCUAGGGAUCAUUAGGAAAUGAAUUGAAAAUAAAACUGCCAAGAUCCUAAUUCCAUUCUACAAAUCUAUGGGACAAUGCACUUGAAAUAAUGGGUGCAGUUCUAAUUGCCAUACCUCAAAAAAGACAUCAUAGAGGUAGAAAAGGUGCCAUAAACUGCAACCAAAUUAAUCAGAGAUGUAGUGACUCUCCUAAGAGGAAACGUCAUGGGAUUUAGAUUAGAAAAAUGGCACACAAGUGGGGACAUGGUAGAGGUGUAUAAAAAUGGAUGUUGUGGAGGAAGUAAAUCAAAGCUAUUCUCCCCCUUUCAUAAUACUAGAACUCAGAGACAAUGAAGUGGAAUGUUGAAAGAUUUAGAACAUAUAAAAGGAAGUACUUAUUCACAUAGUACAUUGUUUAACUGUGGAGUUCAUUGAUAUAGGAUGUUGUGAAGGCCACCAACUUGGAUGGCUUUAAAAGGGGGUUAGAUAAAUUCGUGGAGAAUAAGGCUACCAAUGACUACUAGUCACGAUGACUGUGGGCAGAUCUACACGCGUCCUUUAUAGCAUUAAAAUACAUUAUUAAAAUGUAUAAAACCAGAGGGUGCUGCAGACCAGCAAACCACCAGCAAUGGGAAACUGCCUUAAAGGUUUUGAACGUUAUUAAAUAUAACAUUCUAUAAGAUCAUUGUAGAUCCAGCCUGUGUCAGAAGCAGUAUGCUACUUAACACCAGUUACCGGGGAAGUCUCUCUCAACUUCUCAUUUUUUCAAGCUUAAAUUCAGUUUUCCACAUUAGUGGGGGGGGGGGGAGUCCUCAUAAAAAUUCUUCAGCAUUUUAGUGCAAUUUACCCUGAUAUGCACAUUUUUGUACGCAGCUUUCCCUACGCAUUUUUCUAUGUCAUUUUCUCGAACAUAUGCAAUUUAAUGCACAUUUUGUACGCUUCAUUUGGAUGCAGAAUGGCAUUGAAAAAUUCAGGGAAGUGACAGUUUCAAAGUACGCUGCUUUUCAGUUUGCACUUUGUUUUAAAAUUGUGCACUAGAAUCACUUUUAAAUGCACAUUGCACAGUAUUUCUUCCCCACCCUUAGUCACUGCCACCAUAGCUAGUGUUCAGGGAUGAUGGUAGUUGUACUCCUGCAACAUCUAGAGUGUCACAGGUCCCCCACCCCUGCUGUACCCUAUAGUGAGCAUCCAUUUACCUCUGCAUUUUCUAUCACUAGCGAAAUAAAUACAAUUCCAGGAGGCCAGUUAGCGUUACAUUUUCUGUUGGCAGGAAAUGAAUACAGUGCACAAAGCGGAGGUAGAAUUAGCAUCUUUCAUAGAAAGGGAUGGCAGAUAUAAGAAGUGGAUGGAUGUUUAAUUAUGCAAAUAGAGUUCUCAGAUCUGAUAAUGCAGUGACAUGAAACUGUCUUCACUGCAUAGUCUAAAACAUAUGACGAGGAAGAUUUUAUCCCUAGGCUCUGUCUUUGGAAGGUUUUUUUUUAAAAAAAGAUAUAUAUAUAAUUUCUAGGAGGGCUGGUCCCUUUAAAAGCACCAAGAAAAAUACAUCUGAGAUUUUAAUAUGCCUUGCUGCUGCCAAGCCCCAUUCAUAAUGACAACUGAAGUAGGCAGACAGUUCUGUCUCCUGUGCAUUUAUUAAUUUGAAGAGGGAAAAAAAAUGUCAGUGGGAAAGUUUUAUAACUAGCUCUAGGAGAUUAAAUUUUGUAUAAAAUAUUGGGCCCAACUCGGCCUAACUUAAAACUCUUAUCAGUCUGAUUAAUUUGAAAGAGCAAGAUUUAAUCUCAGUUGAUUAAAAAUAACAUGGCUGUACCAAUCCAUUGUCAUUUGACUCCAAUUCAAAUGUACCCCAAGAAAUCCAUACAAAUAAAAUACCUGCCGGAGGUAAUUAAGCAUGACACCAUUAGCAGGUUAGAAAAUGAUGUCUUUACUAGAAAAGGGGUCUCAAUAUAACAAUAUUGAGUUGUUGGAGUCCACAAUACCCCAAUGUAAAGGACAAAAACAUACACAAACAAUAUGUUAUCAUUAUUCACCUUUAGGCGCCAGGCGAAAACAUUACUUUGACUGAUUAGCGUCCUAUGUGCUUUUAAAUGUAUUUGUGGGAGAGGGGGUUAUUGGUUUGGUUUAUUUUUGUUCUUGUUUUUAUUAUGUAUUUUGUGUUUUUGUCUUGUAUUUUUAUGCUGUGAACCACCCUGAUAUCUUCAGAUGAAGGGCAGAAUACAAAUUUAAUAAAUAAUUAAAAAUUAAAAAUCUAACUGAUCCCACUGGUUUUUAAACACACCAAAAAUGUGUCAUUAACAUACAUAAAAUAUAACCGUUUAUAUGUAGCUUAUUUGUCUGAUUAUCACAUCUGUGAGAAUUUUCUGAGGCGUAAGAACAUUCCUAUAAUAAAGUGGACCUUGACUGGAUCUUGUUGAGGAAAUAUUCACCUGUAGACUUUGAACCCAAGUGCCACAUGAAUUGAACACUUCAAUGGACCUCUUGUGUUUCUUGCAAAAUUGCCCAGUGAGACUGUGGUGACUUUAAGAAAGACUUGGGGAUUUUGGAGCCUGAACUCAAUAAGCCUAACUGCUAGCAUGUGACUGUGAUUACACUAUACCUAUACAAGAGUAGGGAAGAACUUUAAAUAUUAAGGGUCAUAGCAUCAAACUUAGUCGGAGUGAUUUGGGCACCAGUGGGGAGGAUACGUCAGUCACCAACAGAAAAAGGUUUGUAUUAAUCCUAUGUAAUAUAAUUUGAAUGCUAGUGUUGUUUGUACGAAGGAGAAUAAAAAGAGGUUUGUAUUAACUUUAAUUAAUUUAAUCUGAACACUUUGACUACAUGUUUAUAUAGUCUACCUGAUUGGGUCACCAAUAAGGCUAGUGGUUUAUCAGUGAGGGAAACCGGUAAUUGAUGGGAGCUGUUAUGUAUAAAUAUAUUUGCAGAUGUAUAACCGAAGAAGCAAAUAAUGGAAGAAAGAUAAAUAUUGGGAAUCCUUGUUAUCUAUCCGAGAAGCAAGUUUUGUAAAAUAGUAAGCUCCUGUGAAAGUUUCCUCAGUGGAGAACAUGUUUUAGAAAAUGAAAAGCUCCUGUAAAAAUAACAAGAUAAAAUUUUGUUGGAGCAAAUCUCAUUGUAGUAAUUUAUAAGCUAUGGCCUGCACAGGUUGUUUUCUCCUUCUCCCUCCCUCUCUCUCUUUUUGCAAAUCAAGCAGCCUAGGCACAAUCACCAUAAUUCACAAUUCCAGGAGCAGAACAGGCAAAACAGUUACAUUAAGCACAUUGUUGCUGUGAUGUUUUGUAACUGCAUCACUCGCACAGAUGGCACUUCCCUCUCUCUUUUUGGUAUCGGCAAUGGCAAGCCAUUCCAGUUCUGAGACUGCUCUCCUGUUGUCCCAGACAAGCUGGCCUCAGCCCAGGGUUUGUUUGAUCACCUCUCUUCUAGGAAAAGACAUCUUUGGGGAUGCUGACAGCAUUGUGGGUUGUUCGGCUUCUUCCUGUAUACUGUCUUAUUGUACAUUUUAAUUAAGGAUGUUUUAAUGAUACUGUGGGUUUUAAUUAUGGAUUGAUGUUAUAGUUGUAAACUGCUUAGAAGCCAUUUUGGUAUAUAAGUUAUAUAAAACAAAUUUUCCUGGAAAUUCCACUUUCUGUUUAUUUUCUCAUGUGCCAGUCUAAUCCUUCAAGAGCAGAGAAAGGUGAAAGAGCAAUACUUUCCCCACUUCCUAUUUCACCUUUAUAUUCUUUGGAAAUCUCACAUCAGCAGCUUGAGUGGGGAGCUAAACCUUGAAAAGUAUAUAGAGUUGAAAUAAGAAGUAGGAAAGAUUGUCAAUCUUCUGUACUUCUUCUUUAACCUCCAUCUGCUCUUCACAGGGGGCCAGUGCCGGAUUUACAUAAAAGCUAAACAAGCUAUAACUUAGGUGCCCCCCCCCAAAAAAAACUAAAGGAAAAAAACACUGGAUGUACAUUUCCAAAAUAUAAGAUAAAAAACAAAUAAAAUAAAACCUACAUACAGCAACAGUGUUUUGUGUGGUGUAGGCUUCUAUUUUGUUAUGUGCAAAUGGCUUUAGAUACUUAUUAGGUCCAUAAAUUACCAUAUAGCAUAUAUUCAACACAAAAAACACCGACAAUUUGUUGUUGACAAAGGACAGCUGGACAUAUAAAGGGUCCCAUUACCUUCAGUAGUUUAAAGGUAAAGGUAAAGGGACCCCUGACCGUUAGGUCCAGUCAUGGACGACUCUGGGGUUGUGGCGCUCAUCUCGCUUUAUUGGCCGAGGGAGCCGGCGUACAGCUUCCGGGUCAUGUGGCCAGCAUGACUUCAGUAGUUUAGGGCCUCAUCAAACCUAAAUCCGGCCCUGCAGGGGGCAGCCACUCUCAUCCACCUCAUGGCAAAGGGAACGAAGGGUGUGUUUGGUGGGCCCUUGGGCUUCAUGAAUGCCAGAGGAAGUCCUCAAGGGUGCCACACUGGUGAUCCCAGCACUAGGGUAGCUGAGUAAUUUCAGUACCAAAACCAAGUUGGUGGCCAGAAUGAAAUGGAUCCAAUGACCUCCAACAUCUCUGGAGGGCAAAUCAGGACAUGCACACUGCACCAUGCCCCCCACCCAGGUUGCGCCAUGGCAACCUGAGGCCUCCUUAGAGCAUCCUGGGAGUGUGUGCAAGCGCCAACAGUGGGCCUCACUCUCCCGUGAGCUGAUGGAGCUGUAGUAGAGAAGAAAGGUGUCAUAUUGGUGGGGAAGGGCAGGAGCUCUCAUGCCUCCUCAAUCCUGCUGCCACCGCAGGAGCUGAUUCUGCAGCCCCCCAUCUGCAGGCUGCGCCAAAUCGGUGUGUCCCAGGACAAAAGCAGAGCCUGUGGUGCCUUCAAAGGAAUUGUGAACUUCGCACUUGGAAGUUAUGGGAUCCAGGUGAUUGGUUGCAUCUAGGCAAACUGGAAGUUGGACUUUUAGCAUACUCUAGCAACAUAUUUAGGUAUGAAAUACUCAGUAUCUCUAUUUGGUGGCCUUUUAUUACUGUGGAGGAGUCAUUUUAGAUUUUGGUGGUAUGUCUUAAGGGAGGACAGGCCUGCCAAACAAGGAUUGUGAGAAAAAGAAUUAUUGUCCAUAUAAGGUGGUAAAAGUGAUAGGAAAGAGGCAGUUUUGUUCUUCCAAAUCCUGGCAUGACUGCAACAUGCAUAAGCAGGCCAUUAGUUCCAUGUGACCUGGCUACAAAUAUUUCCAGAUCUUUGCCUAGGCAACAGACUCUGGCCUUGGUUGUGACUCCCUAAGGUGUUCCAAGUUUCUCUGUGUGCCUGUUCUCCCUCCCCAUCUCUCUCCCCAUAUCCACUUCUUUGCCCUGCUGUUUUCAUGCUUGUCCUAACUCCCUUCCAGGUGGAAUUUUCAGUUUUAAUUCUGGUUUGCUCUCAAGUCAGUCCAUCAAACAUUCCCCCUGUGAAACUGCUCCAAUGUCGUAUGCAAUCCUAAUCCUUCUGGGCUUCCUACUUCAGCUUCCCACAUGCUCUGCUACCAGUAAAGGUAAAAGUAAAGGAACCCUGGACAGUUAAGUCCAGUCAAAGGUGACUAUGGGGUUGCAGUGCUUAUCUUGCUUUCAGGCCGAGGGAGCCGGCGUUUGUCCACAGACAGCUUUCCGGGUCGUGUGGCCAGCAUGACUCAACCACUUCUGGUGCAACUGAACACCGUGAUGGAAACCAGAGCACAUGGAAACACUGUUUACCUUCCCGCUGCAGCGGUACCUAUUUAUCUACUCACACUGGUAUGCUUUCGAAUUGCUAGGUUGGCAGGAGCUGGGACAGAGCAACGGGAUUUGAACCGCCAACCUUCUGAUCAGCAAGCCCAAGAGGCUCAGUGGUUUAGACCACAGCGCCACCCAUGACCCUUUAAAAAUCUCACACCCAACAUGGGGCUGGAACCCACAACCCUGAGAUUAAGAGUCUCAUGCUCUACCGACUGAGCUAGCCGGUGUUAAAACUAUUUUCCACCCCCUGGUAUGUUGAGUUUCACCUGCUGUCUUAGUUUGAGGCAGGCCUUCCCCCUUGACUUUGCCUUCUUCUCUUGAAUGCUUGUUCCUCAAUUAGGUCAAUUAACCCACUCCACACCCAUCCUCUCAGAGUACUCCAACUUUCAUAUUGCAAAUGCAUUAAGCACAUUAAUUACUUAUCUUUAAUCUUCCUCCUUCUUAGCUAAUAAUCUUAUAUAAAGCUUGGCUCAUCAGUCCCUUUGCUAUCAUUUGCUAAGCUGAAAAGAUCCCAAAUGUUCCAUUGUGAAGUGUGUGUAUAGAUUUCAGUAUACUGAUAGCUGUACAGCAACCAUAAUUCCAGCACACUGACACUGGACUAACACAAUUUUACUUGUACUUGACACUUGACAGGGGAAUGGGAGUCGGCGUGGCAUACAGAUGAAAAAUAGACCUUGAUCAGAGACAGAUGUGUUGAAAUGGAAAGGGAGAAAAGGUCUGUUUAUUUGUUUUUACAAACAUUGCUUGCGGGACUGCUCUUUUUCCGCUCUGUGUAUGCAGGUCUCAUUAGGAGAAUUUUGCAGCAGGGAAGGAAGGUAAUUGCAUACAUUUCAGUUUUCCAGGAACAGACUCUCAGCUCUAAUGGAAUCAUGGUUUCGAUGCACUUUCCUCAGCUUUCUGACUCGAUGAGAAAAAGCAUUGACUAGACUGGAGUGUUUGGCAUCACCGGCACAUCACUCAUGAGCCACAGAACUGCUCUUUGUACCCAAAUCAUAUUGCUUGCCCUUCUUGGAAUCUGCCAUUUCUUCCUUCUUUAGAGGAGACAGUCUGUACUUCCACACUGCUACUGUUAUUACAGGUUUGCAGUGUCAGUCUGAAUGAUAUUUGUGGGUACCUUCCAGCUAUGCCUUGAGGCUUCCCUGGAAACCUGGUGUGGAGGCAAGAUCUGUUAGAGUCUAUUAAUGAUGUGUGCUCUUAUAGCCAAUGCUGACAUUAUACAGCAUUGGGCCUAGCAUAGAGCAAAACAGCCUUCUGUGUUUCCAGCUUCCAGAAUCAGCCAAAACUUAACGAACAGAAAGCUCCCCUUGGCCUAUUGUUCCACAUCCUAGAUGGGAAAAGGCCCACCAAUUUGUCUCAACAGAGCUCAUUCUCUAAUAACUGGUAUCUAUAAAUUUUACAUAAUACACAACUGUUUAUUGUACAUCAUAUUAUAUACCAUACGACUAUUAAUUACGUAUUAUCAACCUAUUUAUUUGAUUUAAGAAUGUUAUAUCUAUCUCAUGCAUUAUUGUAAACACUCAUGAAUAUCCACUAAUCACUACCCUCCAUAAUCUUACAUUCAUAACAACAAUAAUAAUAUUAUUUAUUUAGACCCCGCCCAUCUCGCUGGGUUUCCAUUGAUGAGCCAUAAUACAAUGCUUUCCACCAGAGAACUACAAGUGAAAAACUUGAAACUCAAAGGGUGUCCCAUAUCGACCUAGAGGAGAGCGUCCUAUAAUCAAUACCCCCCCCCCGUUCCACCCAGCCCCCACUAGCACCACAUCAGCCUAUAUACUGCCAUCGACAGUCUACCCCAUAAGGGCACAAUAGUAGACACAAUAGCCCCACUGCUAACACGUCAGGUCAAGGUGUAGCAAAUGUGAGGGAAGAGAUUGGCUACAUUUUUAAUUAUAAAAAACACGAAAAGCACUAUGAAACCCUGCAUGAAGGCAAAUUUAGUAGUAAAAUAGAUAAAGAGUAUCUCUUUUAACAAUGCUCUGGGAUGCACGCACACCACCCCUCACCCUCCUCAACAACCAAAUUCAACCUUUAUAAACUAAAAGUAGUAAAACAGAGGAGGUAAGUUGUAACAUGGUAAGCGUACCAAAAGGUGUGCUUGGACUAACAAAAAGUAGCUUAUUUAAAGCACCCAGCUUACAACUAGAGGAUGUCGCACAACCACGACUUUUUUGAGCCCCAAAAUAAGCCGACUAAACCCCUACAAAACCACCUAACUAUACAUUAAACCAAACCAUUUACCUAGGUUAGUAAAGUAAAUGAGAUUAAACACCACCACCCAGCCUUAUAAGUACCGCAAGGGAGCAAUGAAAGAAUAAUGAAAAACUUUAAGCAACACAUAGCAAAGAUAAACCGCUGUACCUCCUGCAUCAUGGUCUAGCAAAACACUAUCAGACAAAGAGAACCUUUAGCCUGACCUCCCGAAAUCAAGCGAGCUAUUUUUAGGCAGCGCUAAAUCAGAGUGCACCUGUCCCUGUAGCAAAAGGGUGGGAAGGCCUAUAAAGAGGGGUAAAAAACCAAUCGAGUUUGGUGAUAGCUGGCUACUCAACAAAAGAAUUUAAGUUCAACUUUAGGUGUAACAUGAACCCACCACUAAAAUUCCAUUUCUAAACCUAAAGAGAAUUAAUGGUGGUAAAAGGUAAAGGGACCCUUGACCAUUAGGUCCAGUCAUGACCGACUCUGGGGUUGUGGUGCUCAUCUCGCUUUAUUGGCCGAGGGAGCCGGCGUACAGCUUCGGGUCAUGUGGCCAGCAUGACUAAGCCGCUUCUGGCAAACCAGAGCAGCGCACGGAAACGCUGUUUACCUUCCCACUGGAGUGGUACCUAUUUAUCUACUUGCAUUUAGUGCUUUUGAACUGCUAGGUUGGCAGGAGCAGGGACCGAGCGACAGGAGCUCACCCCGUUGCGGGGAUUCGAACUGCCGACCUUCUGAUCGGCAAGUCCUAGGCUCUGUGGUUUAACCCACAGCCCUAUUGAACCAGAAUACAGCCCGAACUGAGACCCUUUUACCCCUUUCCCCUACCAUAGGCUUCUAAGCAGCCACCAAAAUAAACCACAUCAUAGCUGAACCAAAGCAAAUCCCAACAAUCCAACCACCCUCCCAACCCAUACCUUGAGUUAUUCUAUGAUAAUAUAGAAGCACCAGUGCUGAAACUAGUAAUAAGAAACAACUCCAUUCACACUCCUUUAAAUCAGAAUAGGAAAAAAUGCAUUGACAGUCAUUUAUUAUCUUCCCAAGGCAUCACAGUAGCUGCUCAUAUACAGUGAAGUAAAUUUGUGGUGUAAAAUCAUCCUAUAGAAUAAGACAUGGCUGUUUUUAUUACAUACACACCUGCUGUAAAAUCACUGCCACUAUAGCCUCAAGAAUUGACAUCUUUGGUUUGAUUAGGAUCCUAAAUGGCUGGUUCAUGGCAGAUCGUCUUGCUAAAUGGAGACAAUCUUUGCACUCUGAUCUUUUUCAGAGCAUCCCUAUGCCCACCUAUUCAGAAGCGAGCCCCACUGAAUUCAGUGGGACUUAACAGAUAAAUGAAAUGACUUAACAGAUAAAUUAAAUUGAAUUGUACUCUUAAAAUAGUUUAAAUGUACAUCAGCAUACAUAAAGGAAAAAGCAACCUUUUGGAGCUGGUUGCUCAUGUAAGUAAUGUGAGUUUUUGCUGCCUAAUGAAAUGAAUGACUUGUAAAGCAAGCCUGCCAGUUGCCUUUAUAAUUCUGGAAAUAAUAAAGGAUCUACCCAUGGCAGUUUAAACUUGAUGUGAGUAAUGAACUCAAACUUUAAGGUCAGCGGCUGAGGGAUGUGGGGUAGGGAUUUAGCAUCACUUGUUUCUAUUUUAAAGGUUAUUUCAAGUUCCACCCCCCCUCCCUAAGGGAAAGAAACGCAGAGAAGCUGGUCCUGUCUGGAACAUCAGGAGUGAGACAUUUGUACAUACGGACUGUCAGUAUAAUUGUCAAGCUAAAUGAAGCUGUCCCUGGACUCUGACAGUCUUGUUAGACUGGGCUCCAGAAAAGCACCAUGAGCAGACAGCCUGGUGAAAUAAAUAUGAACAGGGAAUGGAUACUGGGUGAGUGUUGUUUCUAAAUAGGCUUUGGCUAUAAAUAAUAUGUGCAGAAUGGCUUACCCCUUUCUCAGAUGGGCGGCAAUUGUGGCCCCUUGUGUUUGACCACCAUUCCCUGAGCAUACAGGUUUGGGCCGGCCAUUUAGGAAUUCCCCUGGCCAGCCAGGUUGCAGGGUGGGACUGCCCUCCAAAGUCAAAUUAAACUGGUCAGAGCCCCUCCUAGUGGGCAGUACCUCACUGGCUGAUCGGGUAUUGAUUGCUCCCAUGCCCAGUCAGGCAGGGACACAUAAAAGCCAAGAGCAGAAGCAGAAAGAUAGAACAGCGUGGGACAAGGCCCAGCGAGGGACAUGUAGCAGGUAGUGGACGGGCAGUGUCUAAGCACCUGGAGAGAAAACAGCAGCAUCUCGGGACCGCAAGUAAGAAUGGUUUCUUAUUUCCCCCAUUCAUGCAGUAUGUACAUACUGUUUUGGGUAGCUUUGCGGCAAGGCUUUUCAAUGCUAAUACGCUGAUCGGAACUUUGCUUGCUGAGUGUUGUUUUAAAAUAGGCUUUGGCUGUAAAGAAUAUUCACAGAAGAGAAAUAUGAUGCAAGGAGAAUUGUCUGGGCAGUUGCAUCCCGUCACAGAAAAAUUGCUUGCAAAAAUGCGUAAACUAGACAAAAACUGGUAGAAAAAUAUGUAUGUUAGGGGAAAUUGCAUACAACGUUUCUCGUGAAUUAAAAAAAUGAAAUUGGAGAAGCUGAACUUAAGAUUGCAAAAAUAAACUGGAAUUGAGAGAUUCACCCAUACCUACCCCUCACCAACCCAAAAUGUCACCUGGACCUGAUUUCCCUCUCAGUGCUGCUUGUUUUACUUUGUUGGUUGCUGAAAUCUAGGCACUAGCCACACAAAGGAGAGAGGUACUGAUUGGUACACUUCGGAAAGUCCUACAGUUUGCAAAAGUGCAAGAAGAAAACAACAAAAGCCCUUUGAGGGGGGGACCCUCUCCCCCAUACAACCUAAUGAGGAUUGAGCAUGCUUAGUGGCCAUGGAAUUGCUGAUCUGCAGUCAGAGUGGGGGGUGGUAACCGAAAAAAUUGAUAGUGAGAAGUGGGGGGAUGGAAUGGAGCAUCUAGAAUUCUGAAUGAAAACAUUCCACAUUGCAGCAGUGUGGCCCACAAGUUCCGUGUCGAAGUACUCUUGCGGCCCACUUGCUAUGAAAAAUUGGACCGCCCUGAUCCAGACUAACCGCAAACUAUAACCAAGGUUUGUUUGGCUCAGUGUGACAUGCAAACCGAGUCACUGUGUCACACAUCAGUUCUAGAUUUUUUUUUUAGGGGGUCAGUAAUGUCUUAACACUUGUCCAACACUUUGUCCAUCAUUUUGCUAUUCCCAGGAAGGUUUUCUGUCUCUGCCUCAGUUCCAGAGGCAAAGACAGAAAAAAUGUUGGAGAGAUUGCUUUUGCAUAAUUGACUAAAAUAAUGUAAUUAUAAAGUUUUGUUGAGCCUGCCUGUGUUUUUCUAAUGAUAGCCCGAAUCUACGGUGUCAACUGUAAAGCAGUUCAUUCAGUGGACAUGCUGUGUAACAGCCUAGGUACAGCAUUACCUCUGAAAAUAAUUAGUGUCUGAUCUGCAAGACUUACCUUUCUUAACAUACUGCAUGGUUUUCUUGUCCUUGUGUUGAAAAGUAUGUUAUUUCUUUAGCAGUUCCUAGUGACCUACUAGCUAAUAAUUUCACAUUGCUUUGUUGAUGUCAACCUUUUCAUAAUUGCCAACCAGGGCAGGGGCCAUACGCUCCCACUUAUAGAUGAGAUAUGCUAUGUUUUUACAGCUGGUCUUCCUCUCUCUUUUUUAUGACAAAUUUUAUACUCUGGUUGAAUGGUAAAUUGUAGAGCCUUGGCAAUUUACACUAGCAGAGUGAUACAUGACAUGUUUUCAAAUCAAAGUUGUUUGCAUGCUGUUUCAGAAGAAUAAAUGCAGCUACAUGUCAGCAGUUUUAAAUUCUGAAUGUGGAAAUGGGUUGGUGAAGCAAAUAGCAGGAGAGGCAGCUCAUGCUUCUCUUAUACUUGGCUAAGCCUGCAAGAGUCUAAAGCUAUGUAAUAAUUUUGCCAUGACUAGCACUCAUGAGGCACACCAGCGUUGCAGGCAAAGUGACCACUAGUCACACCACUAAGGACAGCUCCUAUCAAACAACGUGAGCCAAUGAAGACUGGAUGUGAACUGAAGCCUUGUGAGCUUCUGCUUCCAGUCCACCCCAAGCCCCUUUGAAGGAUGAUGACCCUUAAAGGACCAGCAUCCCGGGUUGCAGGCGACUCUCAAUGUGACUUCCUGCUUGGCAUGCUUCCUGUGCCAUUGGAUGGUGAUUCUUGGGCUCAAGGGAAGAUGCUUGUGAGGGUCGUGGCUCCAGUUUUGCUGUUCUGCAGGUUGCUGCCCAUCAGCUGUAGGUGCUGUGGCCUCAAACUCAAAUGUCAGGAGCCCAGUAGAAAAGCCUCAAACUCCUUUAACUAUGGAGCCAGAGACCCAGCAGGUUCAGUGUUGGGAGCAAGUCCCAUUGAACUCAGUACUUCCAUGGAAGCAUGCAUAGGCUGGGGGGGGGGGGGAUAGGUCCACAACCACAUAGUUCUUCAAGCAUUUACUAGUUCUACCUGUAAAUCUCUUGUAGCCAUGGGGCCCUUCCCCACCUUUUGAACAAAAUUUGUUUGGUGACAACAUCCGUGAGCAAAAAAGUUAUUUAUUUAAAAUAGAUACUGCUUUAUUCAUGCCUGCCCGUGUCUGUAUUGCCCAUUCCUGUUCCUUACAGUCUCACUUUAUGCCAGUCCUCCAGCUGAAUAAAAUGCCACAAUUUGUUUUUAGAAUGUUAAAAAAUCAUUCACAAUGCACAAUUUUUUCUGGAUAUUGUAAACUCUCUAAAUCUACUCCAGUAGUUUAUAAAGAAACCAGGAUUCUGCAAAUAUUGCUUUUAGUAGUGAACAAAUAGCUUGGCAGUGAUGUUUUUCUUGAACGAUCUCUGUAUUUUACAGAUAUAUAUUGCUUCUGGGGGAAUGCUUCUUUGGGGCUUACGGUGCAACAAUACCUUAGCAUCUAACCAGGCCUGAACCUAGCUUUUUUCAGGAUGGAAACUAAGAUACUCAUAUACUUCAUUCUACUCAGAAGUCAGUCCUACUGAGUUCAGUAAGACUCCCAGGGAAGGGUAUAUAGCAGGGGUCAGCAAACGUUUCAGAAAGGGGCCGAUCCACUGUCCCUCACACCUUAUGGGGGGCUGGACCCACCCUCUCCUGAAAGCACCCCCUGAAAGCACCCCCUGUUCCAAGCGAGAGCUGGAAAUAAACAGGCAUGUGACACACAACAGCCUGUUCCCUUUUAAGGUGGAACGGAACUAUAUCCUAACACCCCCCUCCUGAAAAGACCCCCACCGCCGCCUCAUCUUCGGCAGCGUCAUUGUCGUCCUCUGCCUUGGCCAGGGGUCUGUGGGGCACAGAGCCCAUGCCGCUGACCUGGGCGGCGAAGGCAGCCUCCCCGCCGCUGCUUCCUCCCGCUUGGCUCAUGGCCAUAUGUGGCUGCCUCAGUGGGAAGGAAGGGGCAUCGCCCAGAGGCAUCUGCGGCUUCGGAUUGGCUGCAGGAGCUUCCUGCGGCCAAUCCAAAGCCGCACCAGCAUCGCGGAAGUCAGUCCCCGCGCAGUGAGGCCUUCGAGCCGCUCCAGUUUAGCACAGGGACUGACCGAGUGGGUGGCAGGGUUUGCAAGGUUCGUGGGCCAGAUUAAAGAGCCUGUUGGGCCGCAUCUGCCCCCCUGGACCUUAGUUUGGUGUAUAGUAUUGCAUCCAUAAUUAUGGUUGCCAUCUUCUAUAUAGUUGUCUGGGAACAAGUCCCAUUGCAGUUACUUCUUAGCAGACCUGUGUAGGAUUGUACUGCAAAUGAGCAAUGUUUUGACAAAAUGGAACAGUUUUGUUAGAUCAGAUUAUCCACUGCCUGUCAUAUUGUUAGUUCUGCACUGAAUUUCUUACCAUUUUAGUUGUAAAGGAGUCUAGUCAACUUCGCAUCCUGAAAUCUACCCAAAACAUGUUACUGAAGAGUGUAAGAGAUUCACAGUUCAUUUGAAAUGCAUGCUUUUGAUUUAUGCUUCUUUUGUUGUUUCAUCUGACCUCAGGAAUCUUACAUUUUAUUGAAAUACUAUUUUCAGUUUAACAUAUUUGGUAAUAAUAGACUAGAGGUCGGCUACCUUGUAUUUCUGUGUUAGUGACACCCUGAAUCUAAUUAACUGUUCAUUUGAAAUGUAUUUGCAUUUUCAGAUCAUACGCUUUGAAAAGACAGAAUAUUAUUCUCCCACAUCUGUAGCAAGAUCUUAGCCUUAACAACUUUUGCUUCAUAGGAAAUAGCCUUAAGAUAAAUUGCAGCAAUUUCCCUCAAGGUCAUCAAUUGAGUAGCAAUGGCUGUUAGCAGAAGUUUUCUGGGGAUUGAUGAGUAUGUAGGAGGAGUUGGUACCUCAGUCCUCAUCUCAUUGUGAAUAUCCAAAAAAAUUUAAGGCACUGUUUUUUUGUAAACAAAAGUCUACAGACAAAUGAAUAGGUAGCUCAACCUUGCAGAAUUUUAACCCAUCAGGCAAAAUGCAGCCUCUGAAUAUGUGAGCUGUGUAUCCAUCAGACGCAUCAGAGGCUCAAUAAAACUCUGAUCCCCUUUGCCAGCACGAAGACAUUUUCUUGUACUCAUUUCUAAAGAUGUACAGCAGCAAUAGGAGAUGUUUAGCCCUCUAGAUGUUGCUGAACUCCAACAUCCUUCAGCCCAAUCAGUAUCGUCAAUAGUCUGGGUUAAUGGGAGAGAGGUUCCUGACCUCACUUUUCAGUUUUCAGGAAUUUUCCAUUUUCCUGAUCCUCUGGUCAUGGUUUGGUUUGCUCUCAGUUUUGCCAGAAUUUUCAGUUUUUGUGACCUGCAGGUCAAGGUUUUCUUUCUUUCUUUCUUUCUUUCUUUCUUUCUUUCUUUCUUUCUUUUGGAAUUUCGCUUUUUCUUACCCCACCAUUUUGUUCAUUUUUCACAUAUUUUGGAAUUUUCCGUUUUCCUGACCUGUUUUCCAUGGUUUUGUUUGCUUCUCAGAUGUUCUUUGAAUUUUCAAUCUUCCCAAUCCACUGAUAAUAGUUUUGUGCCUUUCCCCCAUUUUGUGGAAUUUUGGGUAUUCCUGACCCUCCGGUCACAGUUGUUUCCUGUUUUCACCUUUUUCUGAAUUGUCCGUUUCCCUGAAACACCAGUCCCAGUUUUGUUUGCUUUUUACAUUUCUCAGAAUUUUUGGUUUUUCUGAACUGCCAGUCACACUUUCCUGCAUUUUUCACAUUUGCUUCAGUGAACUGAGCUAGGUAUACCUGUAGACAUCAUUCCAGUUCAGUAUCUAAAGUGUGUAUGUAAUCUAUAACUUUUCUUCAGAAAUUAAAGGGAAGAAAUGUGCCAAUUGAAUUCUUAUAGAACUGAAAAUAUGCAUAGCUUUUAUUAAGAACUAUCCUACCUUUCCAUAGUUGUUCAGGUAGAGUUGGAACAGGGGCUCAUUUAGUUCAGUAUUGUCUACACUGUUUGGUAGUAGCUGUGUAGGGUUUCGGACAGGGAGCAUUCUGACCCCGACCUGGAGAGUUGGGGACCUUCUCCAUGCCAGGCAGUAGCUCUUCUCCCUCAAAGUAUGCUUAAAAAUGUGCAUACAGACCUAAUAAACUAAAAAAAAAAACCCUUCAAAAACUUAAGCUGAUAAAUAGAACAAGUUUCCCAUCCCAUCUAUCCAACUCCUUUUGCAAGCUAGGGUUGCCGUUCGUUCAGACUUUCCCAGACAUAGCUGGUAUUCAGUGUCCAGGCAGAGAUUGCUCAAAUGUCUGGGAAACUCUGAACAUAUGGCAGUCCAUGUCAGAAUUGUAGAUUUUCAUUAAUAAUAAUAAUAUUUUUUUUUAUUUAUACCCCGCCCUCCCCAGCCAAGGCCGGGCUCAGGGUGGCUAACAAGCAAUAAUAAAAACAAGUUGAAUGAAUACAACUUAAAAACAAGAUUAAAAUACAAGAUUAAAAUAUUGAAAGAUUAAAAUAUUAAAAUGCAGCCUCAUCAGAGGAGGAGAAAGGAAAAAGAGAAAAGAAAGGGGGAGGGAAUCAAAUUGUCUCCAAGCCAAAGGCCAGGCGGAACAACUCUGUCUUACAGGCCCUGCGGAAAUUAAAUUAAAUUAAAAAUAGCUCACGUUGUUGUUGUUUUUCAAAAAGCUCACCAACUUUCCCCCCAAAAAGUCAACAACUUUUGUGUCCGGAUUUUCACUUUUUGAAAUAUGGGAACCGUAUGUAAGCAAAAGGGCUCUAGUGCAUAAAUAUCUAAAGACCGGACAGGGCAAGCAUAGACCUACCUCCUGGGUUAGGUUGUUUUAUAGAAAUAUUCUUUGCAUCUCAUAAUGUACCUUGAUUAUUCUUUUUUAAAGGGAUUUCUGAAGCAGGUCCCUUUGAAGGUGGAGCAAACAGGCUCUUUUGGGGAGAAACUAUUCGGGAGAGUCAUUUUAAUGAUCAAUGCGACAACCAUCCAGGUUGUGACAGACUCAAAGUGCAUUGCAUCUGCCUUUAAAAAUGCAAUUCACAUCAGCAAUCCUGAUUUGUGCAUUCAUUGCCUAGUUAAAUGACUAGAAAAGCUAAAUGACAGCUGCUCACGCUACUGAGUUUGUUACUUUCUUUGAGAUUCAUGAUCCCAUAGGUACAGCAUCAGGCCUGCCAUUCUCUACAACACAUGUUUUUCUCUGUGUACUUAGGAGUAUGAUUAAAAGUCUAUUUGUAAAUACAUGCAAAGCAGGCUUUCAUUAGUAUUUGGGGGAUUUUUAGAACAUCUUGACACAUAUUCUGUUAUUCGCUUUGUGUAAUUGUCAGUACAUACCUGUCAACAUAUGGAAAUCCAGGCAAACUAAAUUGCAGCUUUUCACCUGGAUUGAAAAAUCCCUCAGCCUCAGCGUUUCAUAACUCCCUCUGCUAUCGCGAAACAUGCUCUGGAAUCCUAAAAAAGACAAACACAAUUGGGUGUGGUAUUCAAUAUUUGCAUUUCUUCUAACUGUAUCCUUCAGCAUGUGGUCACGCUUUAUCUUUUGAUUUAAUCAUUUAAUUUUUCUAAUUUUCUAAGUUUAAAGCCUGUGACUGACUGCUGCUGAGCAUAAGGUGCACUUUAGUUUUCCGUAGGGGAUAAUUUAUUCAUUCUGGUAUCGCACUCUUGUUUUCAUUUGCGCAGUCAUCUGAAAGUUUUACUGAAGCCUUUCAGAAAUCUUAUAAAGUAGAUUCAACUCAUUGAUUUUAGUGGGUUUACAUCUGAGUAGAACAUUGGUCUACUCAGAAGCACAUAGGGUGGGGGAAGUCAGAGUCGAUCAUCCUUCCACUUCUAGGAUAGGGAUUUUCAGGGUCUGUUGCAGGUGGGGCCCAAAGGAGAUGCUAUUAAAGGGAAGGUCAGGACUGUCCUAUUUUUCUUGGCAAGAGAGUGGGAUCCUUGUCCCACUGUGAAGAAGGGAAGAGAUGGUGUACACUCGAUGGAUUGCUUAGAGCCAGGUCCAUGGUGAGAGAAUGACCUGGGAAUGAGCUACUGAGAGUAGCCUCUUUCAGGUGGGCAGACUAGAUAAUGUGUUUAUAUUGUUGUAAACCUCUGUAACACACACAAACACAGUGCUUUUUUCUGGGGGGACGCAUAUCCCUAAACAUUUUGUGAAUCUAAGUUUGGCCUCAUUGAGGGGCAGUAUUUCAAUAGGAGUAGGAAAAUGAGAGUACCCCUAAACAUUUUUUUUUUAGAAAAAAAGCCCUGUAGACACACACACACACGCAUGAUACAGCAAUAUAUAAAUGCUUUUAUAAAUAAAUAAUUUCUGUCCUUGUGUUCACAAUCUGGAUUUAUUUCUUUUUAAAAGCUCUCUGGCUUUGUGGUGUUUGAUUCUAGAUUUUUGGCAGUGUGAGUGUCGGUGCAGGCUUUUUCGGCAGAGAGGAGGAAUUGAAGAGAUUGGGGAGAAGACUUUGGAUGCCACAAUCUGAAGUGUGAUAGGGAGAGGGAGGUAUGUCUGUGAGGGGUGAGAUAUCUGAUGUCCUCCCUUCUGGUUUCAUUCCCAACCAGGAGUAACCUGGUUACUAUAGCAGUAUCUCUCUGCCUUGUAUUUUUGCUGCUUAAUGCUGGAC